CCUUCUCCUAUAAUUCCAGUGAGCAGUGAUUGAGUGACGUUUACAGGAGAAGGCGCAAGGUCAACCUCGGGGGUGUUAGCACCACUUGCACUGUUGCCUUCGGGCUGAUAGUUGAGACGAACAUUACUGUACUUGGAUGCAGUUGAUGGGGUAUCAUCCUCCAUCAAAAAGCUACCUGUUGACAAUGUCGUUACAUCUUUAAAAUCAUAAUCUGUCAAAUAGCUCGGCUUCGACAUGACAGUGCCUAUGUCAAUAUCUCCAGAGAGCAUUGCCACCAUGCGUGACAUAGAUGGCCUCGUCAUCGGUGAUGCCUGCGUGCACAGGAGAGCUGCUCUUAUCACUCUAGUCGCUUCAGUUUCGUCAAACUCUGUCAAUCUUGAAUCCACCAGCCCCAGAAUUUGGUCGUUUUCAUGUAGAGUCCAUGCCUGAAAAACAUUAUGCCAUUGUCCAAGGAAAGGGUGAAUAAGUUUUUCACAACAAUGCCAAAAUAAAGCAGGGGAAUGCAAUUCCUACCCAUUCAAGAAGAUAAAUCUUUUCUGGAUCUAAGUUAUUGUCAGAGUUUGGUCUCCCGCUGAGGAUCUCCAAAGCAACGACUCCAAAACCAAACACAUCAGCCUUCUCUGUCAAAUGUCCACGCAUUGCAUAUUCUGGUGCCAAAUAGCCUCUGCAAUGCAAGAUAAUAAUAUGGUUGCACAAUGUUUCUUGAGAUCAUUAGUAGCAUUAUUAACAUGAUGUGUAUUAAAAUUUCAUGCAAGUAUAAAUGUGUGUGGCUAUAAUAUAUGUAACCUAUGGAAAAACAAUAAAGGAUGGCUUACAUUGUCCCUGCAACCCGGGUGCUGAUGUGGGUUUUCUCGUCAUCAUAAAGCUUUGCCAAUCCAAAAUCUGAUAUUUUUGGGGAGAGUUCUGCAUCGAGCAAAAUAUUACUGGCCUUAACAUCUCGAUGUACAAUCCUUGGCCUUGACUCCUCGUGAAGGUAAGCAAGUCCUCUUGCUGUUCCCAACAAUAUAUUGAAUCGAGUAGGCCAGUCAAGGUGCAAGUUACUUGUCCCUGAAAUAUUUGUGAACACAUCUAAUCAAAAACAUUUUUAAGUAAUUUUAGAGUGCUUGAAACUACAGAAAAUGUUGUUUCUAUGUAACCUAAAAGUAGAUAGGUUUGUACCAAAAAGUGCCUGAUCAAGGCUCUUGUUUUCAAGAUACUCAUAAACCAAAAUGCGCUGGCUGCCUUCGAUGCAGCAUCCAUACAAUUUCACUAGAUUCCGAUGUUGCACUGCAGAUAUGGUAGCAAUUUCAGAUACAAAUUGACUCUUUCCUUGGUGAGAUGCUACUGAAAGUUGCUUCACAGCCACUAUUCUCCCAUCAGAAAGUGCACCCUACAAUGUACACAUAAACACAAUUUAGUGACAUGAAAGGAAAGAAAAAAGGAGCUAUAUUUUCCUCUCGCUUGCUCGCUCUUUCUCCCUUUCUCUUGUCAUUACUUCAAGUACAUGAUAUUGAUGUAAUACGGAUUUCACCUUAUAAACAGGGCCAUAUCCUCCCUCUCCUAGCUUAUUUGAAGUAUUAAAAUCUUCAGUUGCGGUUCUCAAUUCAGCAUAACUGAAAGUAUAUGGUCGGGGGCCUAAUCCUAGAAUAUCUGCACAUUCAUGAAACAGUUGACAUAAGUUUUACUUUCGUGAAAGCAUUCUUACUUCUGUGUGUUAAUAUUAGGGCAGCAAAACCUGAAUUGGGUACCAAUAAUGAUAUGGUCGUUUACCUUCAUCGUCUUCUUUUUCUGAUUUUUUCCUCCUCAUAUAUAGAAUUGCAAAUAUUAAUAGCAAGCUCACAACUCCAAUAGGAACUGCAAUACCGACUAUCAACCCAGUCUUGCUCUUCUUUCCUGGAGUAGUUGGUGGAAGCCCGGCAACUGUUGGUGUAAAAUCUGAGUAAUAAAACAGAUGAAUUCUUCAGUGUCAAUUAAUAGCAGAAAAAUACAUUUAAACCAAUCAUAGGAAAUCUCUAUAAGUAACACAUAUUAUACCUGAAGCAGCAUGGACAGCUGCUAUUAGCGGGCCGUAAUCACCUUGUUCGGGUAUGCAACAAGUCCCUUUACCAGCCCAGAACAGAUGAAUUUCAAGAUAAUUCUCUGACACGUUAACAUUAAAUUUUCUCACAAUUGCUCGGUUAACACCACCUGCCGCCGACGAUAUGUCCAAGUCCUUCGUCAUGCGGGUACCCUAGCAACCAAAUGAACAGGUAGGUGAUAAUUCUAGUCUCCUUUAAAUCAUUGUAGCUUAAAACAUAGAAAACCUGUCCAAUGAGUGUUUACUUCAAAUAAGUCAGAAUUUUUAUUCUAUAAGCAGCCUUACCUGAAUAUAGAUAUCAAAUACACGCCGUCCUAGACUUUGCCAUUUUUGCGAAGUGCGACUUUCAUAAACCGUCUCUGCAAAGUGCAAUGUUACAGUGUAAGGCCCAUUCUCAAGGCUCAGGCCAUAGUAUCUCAGUGAUCCUGGGGACACUCUUGAAGUCUGGAAAAGCUCCGGGGUCACAUCCGUUCCGGUGACUUGUGCAAGGGUAUUUUCCAGAAACGACGGGUCCUUUCUGUCAGAAAACAAACCGGCAUUGCUGACAGCCCAUUUCUCUGUACUAGUUACAUUGAAUGUUGCUGCGCCAAGAGCUGAGUCUUCAGUCUCAUACAAUAUGCCAUCACUUCCCGUCAUUUGUUUUCCACCACAGUUGAUUGAGAAGUUUGCAUCUGUAAAGUUUCAUGUAAUACCAGAAGCCAGCCAUGAUUAGCGAUGAAACGUCAAAUUGAAGACUCAUGCUAAUGUUCAUCAGUCACAUAUUUCUAACCAGUUAUGCGUAUUACUGAACUGAUGAAAACAUGCUUGCAAUCUAUAUCCAUAUGUAUACAUAACUAGAGAAGCAAUGCCUUUUCCUCUAACAUGACGAUGCGUUAAAAUAGUAAAUGAUUGAGAAGUUUGCAUCUGUAAGUUUCAUGUAUUACCAGAAUCUACCCAUGAUUAGCGAUGAAACUUCAAAUUGAAGACUCAUACUAAUGUUUUUCAGUCACAUAUUUCUGACCAGUUAUGCUUAUUUCUGAACUUAUGAAAACAUGCUGGCAAUCUAUAUCCAUAUGUAUACAUAACUAGAGAAGCAAUGCCUUCUCUAACAUGACGUUGAGUUAAAACAGUAAAUGUUGGGUGACAUAAAAGCAGAUUACAUCGUGGGGCAUUUCGAUUGCAUGGAAAAUUUCUCUGGAGGCAAUCCAAUCCAGGAAGACUGCAAACACAGAACAAUUAUUAGUUAUCCAAAUAGAAACAUGUAGUGGAAGAGUAGUGAUAGUAUUGCUUGUCUAAAAACAAGUAAGAGAAACUUCAACUCACGUUAUGUUUGAACUGUCAAAUGUGAAGUUGUUGACCACUAAGUUCCUGCAUAAAAUCAUUAAUCAAUCACCAUAUGAAGAAAUAUAUCUUUAUCAAAUGAAAAUUCCAUGUACAAGAUCAAAAAUUAGUAGGCAAGUAGCACUGUGAAAACGAAUCUCAACGAUAAUUUUUUGUCCGAACAUAUUCUGUUGAUUUAAACUGUAAAAUGAAGGUGAAAGAUAAAAGGACACGUACAGUUGCGAUAUUGUGGUCACCCACUGGGGAAAGCUUCCUGAUAAAAAAUUGUAAGACAAAUCUCUGCAAAUAACAAAAUAGAAUCAGAAGGCACAAAAUGCAUGAAAGUUAUUAAGAACUUGUGUAAGAUAGGAUUAGAAUGCUUACAAUUAUACACAAACACACACAUGCACCGUGCAUUCUAUAUGACUACUUUAAGAAAUGAGGACUUACAUAGUCUCAAGUUGAUUGCUCUUUUGGCUUGGAAGAGGUCCGGACAGACUAUUGUUUCCAAGAAACCUGGCCAUUUCGAUUAUAGCAGAAGGCACCCAGAAAAGAAAAAGAGAUGAACAAACAAAAGGUCAGAUGUGCACAAAAUCUAGAAGGAUUAGUCCAGAUAUUCAAUCAAAGUAGGGAAUGUUAAAGAUUUGAUAACUUAUGUAUGAUAAGGCAAGAAAAAGAUAAUAAUAAAGAUGGGGAUUACAAGGAUGUAAGAGAACUCAAGUUGAACAAAGAACUUGGGAGUUGGCCUGUCAAAUUGUUGAAACUCAGAUCCCUGCACACCAACGAUAAGUUGAGAGGAGGAAUCAGAAUGCAAGAAAACUAAUUGGUCUCGUUGGGACUCAAGCUUAUAUUUGCUGGUACGUACAGUGUCUGUAGACUUUGAUAUUCUCCAAUAUCAGAUGGGAUGGUACCAGUGAUUAAUGCGUUUCGCAGUUUUCUAUACUCCAAAAACAUAAAAUUUGAUAAAAGUAGAUGGAGUAAGAUAUCACAUUUCAAAAGGAAAAAGAAGUUAGAUGAAAGUAUCUUGAUCGAUGAGAAUCUUCACUUACAAUUCAGUCAAGCUUUUCAGAUUUUUUAUGAAAUCAAGAGAGGAGCUCCCAUUGUAUAUAUCACUGAUUCGCCUACAUCAUUAUAUGCAAAAUAAACUGAAAUCCUGUCUUCGGAGAAAGAGAGAGAAUUACAAUUUAUGAAACAUUUGUACUUACAGAGAGGUCAAUGAGGUCAGCUGAGAAAAGCUGGUUGGUAUUGGGCCUUCGAAAGAGUUCCCUUGAAAUCGCCUACAGAAACAUAUAAGAAGCUUGUCAACUAAGUAUCCAUCUCAGGUCUGCUUUCAUAAACUGCAUAAGAUCAAAAUUUUAUGUGGCUUACAAAGAAGUGAGUUGUGUCCAAUUCCCUAUGAAAUCAGGUGUCUUUCCUGAGAAAAGACUGUCCGAUGCCCAACUAAAAUUCAAAAAGUUGACUUAUAAUAAGCUCAUCCAAGAAAAGCAAUAUCAAAGUACUAGAUAAACGAACAAAUCUAAAAUACGAUUUAAGAGCCGUUCUUACAGGGUUUGCAUGUUGGUGAGCUUGGCGAAUGUUGAAGGAAUUUCACCACUGAGUCCACAGCUGUCCAUGUAACUGUGAAAAUCAUAAGGCAACUGAUUUGUUAGGAAUGUCGGUACUACAAGAUAGAGAAUGCACAAGGUAAAGUAGAAAAUGGACGCCAAGAAUUUAUGUGGUUCGGCAAUUUAUGCCUACGUCCACCAAACAAGGAAUCUUCACUAUAUGAAAAAAGAUGAAUACAACAAGAGUAGUCUUACCAAGCCAAAGACAAGGCUUGAUGGAUACAAGAAAGUAUAACACACACUUUCUAUCACUCUAAACUUCACUCACACAAUGUGUAGUGGAACACUCUCACUCUCACUCUUGGAGUGGAACUCUAGCUUUGGACUUGAUCCUUUGCUACUCACUCUUUCUUGAUUUGUUGUUUCACUACAACAUCACACCCAUAUUUAUAGGUGAGGGUUUGGCAUUCUACUAGUUUCUAGUGUAUUCUUCAAACCUCUAGCAUAGAAAGAUCUAGACUAGCCACAAAAGUGUGGCUUCUAGAUCUUUCCAUUUGCAACCAAGGAAGCUAGUACUCUCUAGCUUCUUCCAUCAACUUAAUAACAUGCUAGAAUUGUCUAGCAUGCUCCAGCCAUCUCUCUUGCUUACUAGAAUAAUCUAGAACAUUGAUCAUGGGCUGGACCAUAUACCAACAAUCUCCCCCUCCAGUCCAUGAGGAAGGAAUUCCGAUCAUGACUGCAAGUUACCUGGAGUCCAUCCCAGCAGCCUUAAUGCAGAAUUCCAACUUUGAUUUUGUGACCACCUUUGUCAACAUGUCUGAAGAAUUAUUAUCGGUAUGAAUCUUCUUCAGCUGUAGCAUCUUGUUCUCGAUAGCAUCUCUAAUCCAGUGAUAACGAAUAUCAAUGUGCUUGGUGCGUGAAUGGUAUGCAGUGUUUUUGCUCAAAUCCAGAGCACUCUGACUAUCACAAUAAACGCCAUAAUCACUUUGUUUCAAACCCAACUCUUGGAGAAACCGCUUCAGCCACAACAACUCCUUGCAUGCUUCUGUAGCGGCUAUGUAUUCAGCCUCGGUUGUAGACAAAGCAAUGCACUUUUGUAACUUGGAUUGCCAAGACACGACUCCCCCUGCAAAAGUAAACAAGUACCCAGACGUAGAUUUUCUACCAUCCAGGUCACCUCCCAUGUCAGCAUUUGUAAAUCCUUCCAAGAUUGGUUUGGAACCGCCAAAGCACAAGCACAUCUUAAAAGUCCCCUUCAAAUAUCUGAGAAUCCACUUAACAGCUUCCCAGUGGUCCUUCCCUGGAUUAGAGAGAAACCUGCUCACCACACCUACUGCAUGAGCAAUAUCUGGCCGUGUGCACACCAUUGCAUACAUGAUACUUCCUACUGCUGAAGAGUAGGGAACAACUGCCAUUUUCUCAUUUUCUUCAUAUGUUUUUGGACACGACUCUUUGCUCAACUUGAUAUGAUUGGCUAAAGGUGAGCUUACCGAUUUGGCUGUUUUCAUGUUGAACCUUUCAAGCACCCGUUCAACAUACUUUUCUUGUGACAGCCACAACUUCUUGGAUUUUCUGUCACGAAUUAUCUCCAUGCCCAAAAUCUGCUUGGCUGGCCCUAAGUCCUUCAUGUCAAAGGACUUAGAUAACUCUUUUCUUUGAGCUUUUUAAUCAUAAAAGCAUCUUGACCGACAAUCAACAUGUCAUCAACAUAAAGCAACAAAAUGAUGAAUUUACCUCCAGAAAAUUGUUUGAUAUAGACACAAGAGUCAGCAUGAGUUCUCUUGUACCCAUUACUCACCCAUGAAUGAGUUGAACUUCUUAUUCCACUGUCUCGGAGCCUGCUUAAGACCAUAUAAACUUUUCUUGAGCUUGCACACCAAAUUUUCUUUACCUUUGACUUCAAAGCCUUUGGGUUGCUCCAUGUAUAUCUCCUCUUCUAAAUUGCCGUGGAGAAAUGCAGUUUUAACAUCUAACUGCUCGAGCUCAAGAUCUAUGCUUGCUGCCAUACCAAGGAUAACUCGAAUGGAAGUCAUCUUCACCACCGGUGAGAAAAUCUCAUCAAAGUCAACUCCUUUCUUUUGACCAAAACCUUUGACAACCAAACGAGCCUUGUACCUUGUCAUGUUGUCGUCUCUUUUCAAUUUGAACACCCACUUGUUUUUCAAUGCUUUCCUGCCCUUUGGAAGCUCCACCAGCUCAUAGGUAUCAUUCUUUGAUAAGGAAUCCAUCUCCGACUCCAUUGCCUUCAUCCAUUUGUCACUGUCGUUAUGAGCUCUGGCCUCCUCAUAUGUUUCGGGCUCUCCAUAAUUAGUCAACAUGAUAUACUCUGAUGAAGAAUACUUGGUAGACGGUCUUCGACUUCUGAUGGAUCUUCUGACCUGAUCUUCAUUCUCUUGUAGGGCUGGAGGCUCCCCCUGAUUGGGUUCUCCUUGAAUCUGCUCUUCUUGACUAGGCUCCCCCUGAUCAGCAAUCUCAUGGUCUGGCACAUCUUGAUCAGGCUCCUCUUGAUUAGCAUUAUCUGAUUCUGCAGGCACUUCAUUGGCAGUUGCUUCAGGGAUGUCAUCGUGACUUUCUUCAUCUGAAGCUAAUGGAUCAACUCCUCUGACUGCGCCAUCUGGUUGUGCCUCUUUAUCCGAAUCCCCAAUUGUUUGUUCUUCAUAAAAGACCACGUCUCUACUUCGGAUAAACUUCUUCUGGUAUGGGUCCCAUAAUCUGUAACCAAAAUCUUCACCGCCAUAACCAAGAAAGAUGCACGGUGUAGCUUUGUAGUCUAACUUCGAUCUCUGCUCUUUGGGCACAUGCACAAAAGCUUUGCAGCCAAACACCUUCAGAUGAGAGUAAGACACAUCAUUACCAGUCCAUACUCUCUCUGGAACAUCAAGACCUAAUGGUACUGAUGGAGAUCGGUUGAUCAAAUAGCAGGCUGUCCUUACAGCUUCACCCCAGAACUGCUUAGAUAACUUUGCAGUCCUCAACAUACACCUGACUUUCUCCAUGAUGGUUCGGUUCAUUCUUUUCAGCAACACCGUUAUGUUGUGGAGUUCCAGGAACUGUCUUCUCAUGACGUAUGCCAUGUUUUACACAAUACUCUCUAAACUGGUGAGAUGUGUACUCGCCGCCGUUGUCGCUACGAAGGCACUUGAGAGGUUUCCCAGUUUCCCUCUCCACCAUGGCAUGGAACUCCUGGAAUGUCUGAAACACCUGGUCUUUGGAUUUCAACAAAUACACCCACACCCUUCGUGAAGCAUCAUCAAUAUAAGUAACAAAAUAUUUAUUUCUUCCAAGUGACUCGACUUCCAUGGGACCACACACAUCUGAAUAAACAAGAUCUAACAAGUUUCCUUUCUUUGUAGAUGGAACAGAAAAAACUAACUCUUCUUUUGUUUUCCGAAUAAACAAUGCUCACAAGAGUUUAACGACGUACCUUCGGUAAAGGGAAUGUGAGACUUAUUUGCCAAAACUUGUAGGCCUUUCUCGCUUAUGUGGCCUAGCCUCUUUAUGCCAUAAGUCUAGAGAUGAGUCCUCCACAGCAUUCAACUCACCUUUCAAAACCUUGGCAUUUGACCGGUACAACGUACAACAAAGUCGUGCUCUUGCUACCACCAUUAAGCCUUUAGUAAGCUUCAAUUUUCCUUCGCCAAUAUGGUGAUAAUAUCCUUGUCGAUCAAGGGUACCGAUGGAUAUCAGAUUGAGACGUAUAUCAGGAAUAUGUCUCACAUCUUUCAACAUCAAUUGGCAGCCGAGAUUAGUUCUUAGACAUAUAUCACCAAUUCCAAGAAUUUUGGAAUAGCUUUCAUUCCCCAUCUUCACUAUGCCAAAGUCACCUUCUUUGUAUGUACUGAAGAACUCCCGUUUGGACGUAGCAUGGAAGGAAGCUCCAUUGUCAAAGAUCCAUUCAAUGUCUCUGUCAGAGUUGCCCAUAUGCAGACAUUCACCAACAGACAAUAUUUCUGGUACAUCACCACAUAUGACAGCAGUGGUAUUGCCAGUAUCAUCUUUCUUCUGAUUGUUUCCUUCCCUUUGCUCUCUCUUCCAAACUCGACAAUUUUUCUUCAUAUGGCCUUCUUUGCCACAGUGGUGGCAUGCACCCCUGAACUUUGACUUGGAUCGGCUAGGACUCCUGCCAUGACCUCUAGGCCCUCUACUUUUGCUUCUUCCGCGGUUCUCUGUGACAAAUACUUGGCUGCUAUCUGUGCCAGAAGUCUUUCUCCUUGUUUCUUCAUUGAGCAUGCUAUUUUUAACAUUAUCAAGAGUAAGAAACACCAUUAGAAGCAGAGUUACUUAUACUCACCACAAAGGUCUCCCAACUGUCUGGCAAGGAUCCAAGUAACAAGAGCGCUUGUAGCUCGUCCUCGAUCGUCAUUUUCAUAUAGUAGCCAACUGGUUGAUGAUAUUCUGGAAAUUGUUCAAGUGUUCUGCUACACUUAAACCAUCCUUGUACUUCACAUUGAUGAGCUCUUUGAUCAAGAAGGCUUUCUUGGCUGGGGUCUUCUUCUCGAACAAGGACUCAAGCUUCGUCCAAAACUCGCGAGCAUUGGUUUCAUUAGACACAUGGUGAAAAACACUAUCAUCCACCCAUUGUCUAAUUGUGCCAAUAGCCUUGCGAUUCAUCUUCUUCCACUCGGCAUCGGACAUGCUCUCGGGCUUAGCGGCAUCUCCUUCAAUUGGCUCAUGCAAAUCCUUGCAAUAGAGAAUGUCCUCCAUCCUUGGCUUCCAUGUUACCCAAUUGGAGUUGGUGAGUUUGAUCAUAGUGCCACUUCCUUCCAUCUCGUAGUACGAGCCAACCGGGCUCUGAUACCACUUGUUAGGAAUGUCGGUACUACAAGAUAGAGAAUGCACAAGGUAAAGUAGAAAAUGGACGCCAAGAAUUUAUGUGGUUCGGCAAUUUAUGCCUACGUCCACCAAACAAGGAAUCUUCACUAUAUGAAAAAAGAUGAAUACAACAAGAGUAGUCUUACCAAGCCAAAGACAAGGCUUGAUGGAUACAAGAAAGUAUAACACACACUUUCUAUCACUCUAAACUUCACUCACACAAUGUGUAGUGGAACACUCUCACUCUCACUCUUGGAGUGGAACUCUAGCUUUGGACUUAAUCCUUUGCUACUCACUCUUUCUUGAUUUGUUGUUUCACUACAACAUCACACCCAUAUUUAUAGGUGAGGGUUUGGCAUUCUACUAGUUUCUAGUGUAUUCUUCAAACCUCUAGCAUAGAAAGAUCUAGACUAGCCACAAAAGUGUGGCUUCUAGAUCUUUCCAUUUGCAACCAAGGAAGCUAGUACUCUCUAGCUUCUUCCAUCAACUUAAUAACAUGCUAGAAUUGUCUAGCAUGCUCCAGCCAUCUCUCUUGCUUACUAGAAUAAUCUAGAACAUUGAUCAUGGGCUGGACCAUAUACCAACAUGAUUAAUACCCAUUUCAUACGAUAAAGUGCAAUUUUUGCUCAUCCGUAACGAAUUAACAUGUAAUUCAAAUUUGAUGAUUUAACGAAGCACUUACAUUUGCUCGAGCUUGACUAAAUUACCAAGUUCUGGAGGGAGUGUUCCGGAGAAAUUAUUUGAUCCGAUGCCCCUGCAAGUCAUGUUGAAUAGGCAAACACUUACUUGAAAGCAAUUAUUGAAGAGUGAUAGAAGGUUCUGUAUCUAAUGUUUACGACACAAAAUUUUAUUGUAUGCUCUCUCAUUUUUAUGGCUUACAGCAGAGUUAGCUCCGUAAGGUUUCCAAGCUCCUUGGGGAUGGGUCCAGAGAAUGAAUUGAUGCCAACUGACCUGAAUGGAGAUAUCAGUUAGUGAAAGAUAAGCAUCAUUAAACUUAAUUACAUACAUAACAGGAAACUAGUACUGCAUUAUUCAAUAAAAGCAUAAUGAUUUUUUGUAGAUUACGGCACAAAAAGUAGCGAAAAGGUGUAAAGAACAUAACUGUAGAUUAUGAUAUUCAAAAUGAAGUACAAAUUGCUACGGGUCUCAUCAGAAGUAUGAGUACUUAAAGAAAUGUUCUCUCACUACUUACAAUUCAGUCAAUGCAGACAUAUUGCCAAUGAAUGCUGGUAGGGGACCGGUGAAAUAAUUCUGAUCGAUUUUCCUACAAAAAUUGAAAGGAAGUAUAAUUGUUAACUCUUAAUCUUAUAACAUCACCAUAUUUUUGUUGAAAUCUCACAUCAGCUAGAGAAAUAAAGAAAGAAGAGUUUAAAUAUCCAAAUCUCAUUCCAACUAAUACCGAGACCUUUUGGAAUAAACCUCACACUUAACGGAUUGUGCAAGUGGUACCAAGUUAGGGACAAUAUCUGUGUUGUUGGAAGUGAGCCUUUUGCUCGUCUCUCCGAUAAUUCUACAAUUUUUGAUAUCCAAUAUAUGAUUUUGAUGAACCAAAAACAGAGAAGGGAGUUGGAAAAAAUUCAUACAAAGAUGUGAGAUAUCUCAGAGCCACAAAUUCUUCUGGAAACACCCCUCGUUUGUUCAGAGCAUACACUCUCCUGGAAAGCAAAAAGAUUGAACAUUUAGAACUACAUAAAAUGGAGCGACACAGUCAAAUUAUGACGUUAAAAUAUAUAGGUAGCAAGUGAAAAAUCAGCAGUGGCAUGGAAAUCUUGUUCAUAAAGAGUAGUUUAACAUACAGUUUGGUGAUGUGGCAUGUAGCAUUGUUGUCGUAAGAACAGUCGCAAACGAUGGCUGGGUUGUUACUGGGGUCCCCAAAGUCGGUGCCGUUGAUGGCAGAUCCACUGCAGGGUUCUCCACUGAUAUUCCACAGCCCCGGCACUGCUUGUGUGUCCCAUUGUUCAAAUAUUGAGUUCAACGCCCUCACUGCACUCUCAGUUAAUUCAGUCCUUGUGUGUAUUAGAUUAUAUCACACCAUAAUUUGAUUUGUGUUACCACUUACCAGACUAUCUCGAACCAAACGAAAGAUCAAAUUGAUUAUUACAAAGGAAAAUUACCCUUAAUUUUUGGAUGUUUUGUAUAUGGGAUGAAAAAGGGCCUUACAAUAAUUUCUUCGAAACUUCGUUUCAUAUAGUCGAAAAACACUUAAAAUGUCAAUUUGUUGAGGGAAAAAAAAGCCCAGUUCCUGGUCAGAAACACUUAAAUGUGGCAAAGUGUGUGUGUAGGGAGAGAGAGAGAGAGAGAGAGAGAGAACCUUCAGAUGGAUCGGUGGUAGCAUUUUGAGCAAAUGACAGCUGAAACCAGAAGUAGCUGAGGAAGUAGAGUAAUAGUAUCCUCAUCAUCAACUUCAUCUUCAUAUUGUACAUGUGCAGAACUUGCUCUCCUCGACGGCGUGAAUUUAAACGACCAACACUUACAUUCCGACUGGCUGAAUCAUGCACCGCAUGUAAGUAGAAGAAGACCAUUAGAUUUUAGUCAUAUAUUGACAACAUAUACAUAUAUAAUAUAUUUUGUCCAAGUUGCAUGAUCAAAUGGCGGCCACUUUAAUAAUUUCCCACCUGGAGUAGGCCAAGACUUUGAUCAUAUUAGUUGAAUUGUAUACUGUAAUAUUACACAUUGAGCUGCUUUAGUAUUGAAAUAUUUAUGUACAAUUUUAGAUUGUUAAUAUUUUUGUGGUUGAAAAAUCAAGGAAUUGACUUAUGGAUUUACAUUCUUGCUCAGUUGGUAAUUAUGGAGAGGGAUUUUUCUGGAUAGCGAAAGAACAAAGGAUUAAUUCUUUGUUAGUUGGUGAUUUUGAUAUGACAUCAACCGAGGAUGUCAUUGUGACAAUUCUUAAGCUAAUCACAUUAUUAUGUUUGACAAAACACAUGACACACUAUUUGAUUAGUUUUUUAUUUCUUUCUAAAAAGAUAGGCAACUAAUGACAAACCACGAUUAUUCACCUUUUUUGGGCUAGAAAUAGGCUAAUUAGAAAUUGUACACACAUUACAAAGUAUCGAACUCAGGAUUUUCACAAUUAGCUUAAAAUAUUGCUAAAAUUGCAUGUAUGUUGUUAGUUUGUCCAGUAAAAGAAUAAUAUUUCAUUCAUAAUUUUACGUAUAAAUAAAACGAUAAAAUGAAUUUUUGAUAAGUGGACAUGGAUUUUUUCAAAGAAAAACAAAGGUGGGAUUUUCAAAAAAAAAAGAAAAGAAAAAUCUCUGGUGGAAUUUUCAAAAGUUGUGGCUGAAUUGAAAAUUCAAUCGGGAUGAAAAUAUCUGCAAGUUGAGUUGAAUGGAAAAGGAUAUUUGCCGGAUCAUUUUCUUGAAAAUGCGGAAGAUCUUGUGAUUGUAUCUGUUUAUCGUACCUCGUGCGAUAAGUUUUUGUUAAAUAUUAUUUAUAUUUAAUUUUAAAUUUUAAAUUUUAAAUAAUUUCUGACCGCAUAAUGUACGAUUAACAGACAUGAUCGUAAUAUCUUUCGGAUCCCCAGAAGAAGAAUCCGGGAUCCUUUUCCGAAUUGAAUGAUGCAGCCAGAAAAGUCAAAAGAGGAUAUGUCUGGAUGGAUUAGAAUCAUCUCCGGAACAAUUACAUCCGUCCUAAUCCGUUUUUGAUUGAUGACAGAAAGUCAAACUGCCACGUAUGAACCCAUCACCAUCCCACCCACCUUGGCUUAAUUAUUCUGAUGCCUUGUUCUUAAAACAAAAGGAGGUAGGCGAUGAAUUGCUGUACUGACGUUAUAAUGGAAGGGGUGUGCUAUCCACACACUCAUUUUUAUUUCUCACACACCUCUUGUUAAUUUUAUUUCUGUUAAUCUUCUUUAUUUCAUCUGAUCCGACGGCCGAAAAUUAAAAGAGAUGUGAGGAGUAAAAAAGGGUGUAUGGAUAUUACACCCUUAAUGGAAUCGGUAUUUAAUUAAUCAUUUUAUUGGCAUUAAUUAUGUACUUAAUUAAAAGUAUGUAUAACUUAGUUGAUGCAAUGAACUAUCAUAGGAUUAUACUUUUAGUCCAAAAAGACCGCUCAAACCGAUAGGACUAUACGCUUUAAUGAGAGUUGGAAGAGAACAUCUAACGUAUGUAGUAUUAUCCUAAUUUUAUAAAGAAAUUAUUUCUAGGACUUAAACUUGUGAUUUUUUUGGAUCACAAAUGAACAACAUUUCCAUUACGCCAAAAUUCACCUUCAAUUGUAGCUUUAAUCUAUAAACAAAAUAUGGAACACUGGUUAUUGACGCUAAUUCCUUGAGGAUUCUGAUUAAAAGGACCAUAUGGGCAAUUCACUAAUUUACUGUUCUUAAAGGUACUCCUCGGAUUUUGGCCAAAAAUUCUUAUAGAGUUAGCGUGAAGGACUAAUGUUUCACAUUUAUCGAACUCAUAAACUACUUUUAAUAGAUCCUUAAUUUGUAGACUAAAAUUACAAUUUAGUCAUAAUUCACCAACCAAUACUGUGAUUUUCUCCUUUAUAAUGUUUGGGGAAAAUACUGUUCAUAUCAAUUAUCAAAGACUCAUACUCAUCCUCGCAAUCGUAUCAAUAAGUAAAGGGUAAUGCUAUUUUGCUAUUUAUUUUCUUUAAUUCAUUUUAUCCGAAGAUAAGAAAUUAAGAAAAAUGUAUAAAAAGUAAAAAUAAGUAUGUGAAUAGCAUCAUCUUAAAUUUAUCUCUCUUAGCAUAAAAUAAAAGAAAAACUAAUGAAAAGAACUUGAAAACUUUGAGUUUUAAUCAAAAUGACAAAAAGGCAAAAAGAUGUUGUAAGUGAAUAGUACUAGAAGUGACUUUUUUAGAGUAAAAAUGUCAUUUUUUGUUAAAGUAAACAGUACUAAAAGUGUUUUGUUAAAACAUAGUAAAAUAAAACUUAUAGUUUUUAUUAACCAAUUAGACAAAUUGGGUAGGAAAAGGAAGGAAUACACAUAUUCUGCCAAGUUACAUUGGUGUAAAAACACGUAGCUUGCACAUGCAGUACGAUCAAGUUGCGGCCCAAGUUGAUGAGUUUUCCAUAAAGUUAAAUGAGUUUGAUCAUGGAUAAUAUAUUAAAUAUAUAAAGAAUUAUUAAAUAUUGCCAAACAACAGCAGUGUUUUAAAUUUUUUUAAACUAAGCAAACAGACAGGGAAAUGUAAAAAUUAAGUUCCUAUAUUUAUUUUUCCUACUUUAUUAAUUAAAAUUUUAUUAAUUUUUAAUUUUUAAUCAAAAUUCUUAAAUUUUAAUAAAUGUUAUUAAUUAUUUUAAACGUUACAUUUGGUAUAUUUGUGCCCAUGCUAAUUAUAUGUAUUUAUUUUAUGUUUUAAAAUAUAUCAAGAGUUAUUUUUCAAAAUAUGUUAAUAAUUAUGUGGGUACAUUAUUUUUUGCUAUAAUUUUUGUGAAGAACAAUAUUACUCUAAAAAAAAAUUUUAAGUAUAUUUUAAAAAUAUUAUUUAAAUUUGUUUAAAUUUCAUAAUUUGUGGAACAUUAAAUACAUAAAGACAUGAAUUAAAUCUCUUAAACGAUGCUAAGAUUUCGAUCAAAUUAUUUAAACAAAUAAAAUUUUAGCCUAACAAUUAGGUUGAUUAGGGACCACAGCCAAAAUGACGAUAGGAAAAUAUACUGCUUUUGAAUGCAUCUGUUGGCUACAGUUGAGGAUGAACUUUUAACAUUUCGAAAGAGAAAGAUUAGCGGUUGAUCUCCUGUAUUUUAUAUGUGCAUAUCAUAUGAAGAGAGAGAGAAAGAGAGAGAGAGAGAGAGAGAUAUACCCGUCCUGCUGUUGAAGCAGAAGAUGGAGGAGCUGAAGCAGAAGCAAGCAGCAAACUGGUGGGAAGAUAUCAGAGAUGGUGGCUUCUUCGCCCACUAGCUCUGAAAAUUCAUCCCCUCUCCUCUCUCUUUAUCCUAGUAUGAGUGUGUAUGAGAAUGAAAAGGACAAUUCCCACUUACAUAAACCAAAAUAUAUACGGACAAGGAUUGUCUGCUCUCUACUUCCGGUGCUUUCUUCGUAUCUUCCUGUUUUGUGUGAUCACGGUUAAAUCACGUCAAUAUUUUAUAUUUUUUUUAUAAAUAUAAUAAAACAAAAAUGAAUAGUAAUAUAAAAUAUUGACGUGUCUUAACUAUGACCACACAAAUAAAAGAGCACGAAGAAAACACCGGAAAUAGAGAACAGACAAUCCUUGUCCAAUGUAUAUGGCCUCAUGGGAGUAGUAUAUAUAAUUAUAUAUAGUGGCAUGAUUAGUCUUUAGCCAAUGUCAGUCUCUGUAUUCUUCAAACCAGCAAUUUCUUUAUUCAACAACUAGAAUAAUUAAAAUGUAGAAACACGAAAUGUAAUAUGAUAUUUAUGCAUUUUAUUAUUGGUUUGAUCUCUAUGAAUUCUCUUUUUCCUAACAAUUAACAACUUAAUUCAAUAAUGUUAUUAUUUAUUAAAAAGGAAAAAAAAAUGAAGUAAUUAACUUUUUUUUUUCAUAUUUUUAACUAGAUGUAAAAGCUAUUAAACCUUAGAACCUAAACAAGUUCCUGCCCUCUAAUCCAAAUUUUCCUUCACUUUGUUGAGAUUCUGCUAAUUUCAUUUAGCCUUUCAUGUUUCUCUUUAAAAAAAAAAUCGUAACUUUGCACCUUUAACUCAAUUUUCCUUCAUUUCGUCGAGAUUCUACUAAUUCGUAAAAAAUGAACGGAAUACGUGACAUGGUAUACAUUUUGUUUAUGUGCAUCCGUUAAAGCUAAACAUCUUAUGGUUCAUUAACUUUAAUCAAAUUUGAGCAAUAAUCCAUUAACUAAAAAUUCAUUAUCAUUAGUCCCGCAACUCAUCAAAACGUAUAGUUAUGAUCAUUUUCGUUAACUUCGUGAGAAUUUUGUCAAAAUGAGUUAUGUUGGAAGGAUCAUUGUUACAAUUGAGAUCCCUCAACUCAUCAAAACUUCUAGCUAUGAUUUUUUCGUCAACUUCGUUAGAAUUUUGUUAAAAUGAGUUAUGUUUGAAUGAUCAUUGCUACAAUUGGGUUAAAGUUGAGGGAUUAUUGUUCCAAUUGAGUUAAAGUUAAGGGAUCAUUUUUCCAGUUAGAUUAAAGUUGAGGGAUCAUUUUUCCAGUUAGAUUAAAGUUGAGGGGCCAAGGGUAAUAAAUUUUUAGUUGAGGGAACAUAGCUGUACGUUUUGAUGAGUUAAAAGAUUAAUGAUAAUAAAUUUUUAAUUUAAGGACCAUUAUUCUAAUUGAAUUAAAGUUAAAAAAUAUUACUACAACUUAGACACAUAAAAAAAAAUCAUAUUAUAAAAUAACAUAUAUAAAGUUUCGCUUCGUAUUUUGAGCACAUUGAAAUCUCUAUAGCGAAAGAGUGAGUUGCUAGCUAUUGAAAUUCCCUAAGGUAUUGGUAAUUGUGUUUAAUUAAAAGAUAAAAAAAAAUUAAAUAAUUUUAUUGUCAAUUGAAUGAGUUGGUAUGCCAAACUUCAAUUUUGACCUCUCUUUGCUGUUUCAUUUAUUGGUCAAAACACCCCUCUUCCACAUCUCAUGCCUAUCUUCGGUCUCACUCGCGAGCAUAUCUGCAGUACUGACUCAGGGAAAGGACGCAGCUGACAACCCUCAAGGUUCAGAUCUCUCUGUUAUAGCUUUCUGUAAUUAAUUAAUUCAAUUAAGAGCUCUGUUUCUCCGUCUUUUUUUUUUAAUUUUUUUUAUCAGAUUAUCCCUGAUUUAUGCGUCUGUUUCUGAAUUUGUGAAUAACAUGGGAAUUUGUGUAAACUGCUCCUGAAUUUGUGAAGAAUAUGGGUGUUUUGGUUCUCAGAAAAUAUUUGUGAAAUUUUGGUUUAUGUUUCCGUCUCUGGGUUGAUCUGUUUGUAUUCAAGUUCUCAUUUUUUUCCCCCUCCAUGGAUGUAAUUUAAGGGUGUACUGCUUGAUUCCCGGGAAACUUUGGAAGGAAAAUGAUAGAAAUUGCAAUGCAACAUAUACACCAACUCUUUCUAUUUGUGAAUUUCUGUGUGUUUGGUUAGAACCUAAGGCCUCGUUUGGUCUCUAGGAUCGGAUUGGAAUGGUUGAAAUAACAAUGAAUCGUAUAAUUUUUCUUAUUAGUAAAUUGAUUUCUCAAUUUGGUAUGAUUGAGAUCUUCUCAUGCUGUAAUAUCAUAAAGGGUGACCCCAAGCCAACAAGGCUCUAAGGAGCGACCUUUCUGUUGCGCUAAGGCUCGCCCUCGCUCUAGUAAUGCCGUAGAAUAUGGAUAACUUGUUCCCUUAUGAUCUUUUUAAGUUUUUUUCCCAGAGUUGCAUAAUUUUGAUCAAGAACUAUUAUUUUUGUUGGGAUUGAGACCCAAAAAAAAUCCUUUUGCAGAUUAAAAUUCCGAAAGAAACUCUCGUAGGCAUCAAAUCGGCAACAGAAGUACGAAUUGAAGGCGGUAGUUGAAAUGAAGAAAGAAGGAGCCGAGGAAACAAGCAUGGAGAUAGUGAAGAAGUUUUUGGAGAAAGAAGGUGAAAUGGCAAUCGCCAUGGAUAGUCUGCCCGACAGGUUCUUUGAGCCCUUCAUCCUGAAAGGCAUUAACGUCGAUCUCCUUGAACCCGGACACAUUGUUUGCUCCUUCAAAGUACCCCCGCGUUUGGUGAACGGGGGCAAUUUCUUGCACGGUGGAGCCACAGCAACCCUUGUGGAUUUGAUAGGAUCAGCUGCAAUCCUCUCCUCUGGAGCUCUCAGUUCCGGAGUUUCGGUGGAGAUCAAUGUGUCGUACUUGGAUUCGGCUUAUCCUGGCGAGGAAGUUGAGGUCGAGUCCAGGACGUUACGUGUUGGGAAGACUGUUGGUGUUGCCAGUGUUGAGAUCAGGAAGAAGAAGACUGGGAAGAUUAUUGCUCAGGGCCGUCAUACCAAGUACCUUGCUGUUUCUAGCAAACUCUGAACAGCUAGGAAAUUGAACCAAGGCAUACUGUUCAGUCAGUGUUAAGAUUUUUCGACAUCGAAUAAUUUUUUCUGGAGUGAAUUGUAAUACAAGCAAUGCUCAGUCAAAUUCUCCGUGACUGAUACAAAUAGUUAAGAACAAUACAAUAUUUCACCAAAAGUUGUCGAAAACCAGAACAUUUAACUGCUUAAGCUUUUAGAUAAUAACAUGAUCCAAUCCUCAAAAUUGUAUUGCUCAAAUUUGUAUUCCUCAGACUGAUACAAUUGUUAAGAACCAGUAAAUGCUUAUAAAAAAUUCUCAAAAAACAGAACAGAUAAUCAGUUAACCAUUCGAUCACAACAUUCACUGAAUCACGAAAAGUUAACCGAAAUCAAGAAAACAACAUUGACCAUUUGAGUCACAAUUCGUCAAAAUCAUAUCCAUCGUCGUUAUUAUAUCCCUCAUCGUAAUUGUAUACUUCAUCAUAAUUGCAUCCAUUAUAUUCGUCGUUUGCAACAUGUGUAUCAUCGUCAUAGCCUUCUCCGGCUUCAGCCUCUUCACUGUACGUAUUUUCAUGUUCGAGCUCCUCAUCAGGACUAACUUCAAAAUGAAUCUUUUUCUGAUUUGACAGCUGUUUACCACUGCCGCAAUUAGACUCUUUGCGUUCUUCAAAUCCAGGUCCCUGAAAAACAGACGGAGAAAAAGGUCAGAUUAAGCAAAUUCAGGAUACAUUGACAAGUUCUGGCCGUUGCUCGUAAAAACAGACAUUCUAAAACCUCUUAGGAUUCAUAACUAGGAAUUACAUUGCAAAAUUAUUAUAUAUGGCCAAAAAAUUAUUAACCAUAUAACGAGAUAUAACACUUCCUAUUUCCUAAAGUCUUCUAUUAGCUGCUCGAUUAGCAAACAACCUGUAUAAAGAUCAUGGUUUCACAUAUUUAGGUUUUAUCCUGCCAUAGCUUGUACAACUUCGAUAGACCUUUAUUCCAUCAUACAAAAAUUGGUGUCUGCCGACUGACCAGAAAUAAACGAGUAACAUGUGACGACUGUCAAAGUUUGACAUACUAUUAGUCUACCAGGUUUGUUUGGUUUUUUUUAGUCUUUUGCAAUCUGCAUUAGGUUCACAGGCAACGAGACAUAUAAUGUUUGACAACAUAAUAUGCAAAUUGCAGAGCUAUGAGUGAAGCAAGAAUGAUUCUAAAAUAAGCCGGUGAAAAGAUACUUACAAGUUUCUAUUUUUGAAAUAAGCCGCAUGUGAAAAGAUACUUACAAGCUUUUCAUUCAAAAGCUCAAAGCAUGAAAGUUUUUGAACUCAGCCUCUGCAAGUAAAAAAGAAUACUAAGCCAAGUCUUUUAUCUGCAUUAUCACAGGCAAGACAAUAAUGUUGAUGAAUUAAGCUAUAUGAAGCAAGAAUGAUUCUAAAAUAAGCCGGUGAAAAGAUACUUCCAAGCUUUUCAUUUAAUUUCUUCAAAGCAUCAAAGUCGAUUUUUGAACUCAGCCUCUGCAAGAAAAAAGAAUGCCAUGUAAAUAAUUGUUGGAUAAGAUAUAAGUUGCAUCAGCUAAUUCCCUUACCUCCUUGUUAUUUAUCAGCUAAUUCCCUUACCUCUGGAGGAAUAAUACUUAAACGAAGCAUAUCCAUCAGCUAAUUCCCUAACGUCCUUGUUAUUUAUCACAGUAGAAACUUUGGCGGUUUUUUCUGCAGGUGCAGCUUUCUUGGCUUUUCUGGCUCGUUUUCUACUCUUUCCCUGCCAAAUUUAUCCAUUGUAUGUAGAAAAUUAGAAAUCGAUAAGUAAGGCACAAUGCUGGCAGUAAAACAAAGACAGAUAAACGAAAGGGAAAAACUAAAAAAUAAAUCACAUGCAGAUAAGAUAAAAAAAUAUUAAAAAAGUUAACCAUCACCCAAUACUAAUUUGUAAGCAGGUGUGACUCCAAUAACAGUUGAGAAUUUAGGCACAAACAACGAAGAAUGGUGAAUAAGCUGAAUGAAUCUUCCGAGCAUACACUUUAGAGAACAAUGCACACAUGACAGUCUAGAAAAAUGCAAAGAUAAACUCAAAUGAAGUAAAUAUUGGGAUAAACCACAUAGCUAAGCUAGCCAUAUCCCAUAAUAUAAUGAAUAAAUUCAAGGUUUUGGUUAGAAGGUCCUACUUUGAAAGGAAUGAUUUUACUGCAACGAAAUGCAUAAAAAGUGAAAGCAAGACACCAGUUCCAAGACAUGUCCUCUAUCAUAACUGAAAUUGCCUAUUUAGUGGGGCUUAAGGACUCAGAAUUUGUUGUUUUAUGUGCCUAGGAUCUUAAAAGAAGUAUUCUUCGUAGAUUAGCCAUAGUUUCAAAGACUAGGACUAAAAACAAGUUAAUUGUCUGGAAGACAAAGGGUUUGUUGCAAAUUUCAGUUAGCAGCAGGCUUUUUGAAUUUGGGGGCUAAAAGUUAGAGAAACCAGAAAGAAAAAACAGGUCAAAGAUUAGGGCUUUUGAAUCAAGUACGAAAAGAGAGAGAGUACAAAAGUUCUAGAAAGAGAGAGUUGAGUUAAGAACUUCCAAAAAAUCACUGAGAUAACGAGUAAAGGAAGAAUGAAGAGGCAAAGAGUGGAAGGAAGAAAACCAGAAACCCAUACAAGGAAAAUGUAUACUAGUAUGGUCAUGAUCAAAUGCAAAAUCCCCUCAAUUGUUCACUCUAAACAGUCGUGGCCAUAAAAAAACAUAGACGAAAAAUAAGAACAAAACCAUCGAAUAAACAGAAACUACGAAAUUGCCUAACAUUGCACCAAAUCCUUGUGAAAACAAAUGUGUCAAAACUUAUAGACUUGCAAAGGCAUUACCUGAUCGUAGUCCUUGUUAAGUACUUCCCAAAUUAAUCUUUUAAACAGUGCCGCCUCCUUGCUGUUAAGGUAUCCAGCAACCUAAAAAACAGAAGCAUGAGUUCUUCCAUAUCGAAAUUCACAAACGAAAAAUAGAAGCAACAAUCACAUACGAAUCCAAAUCGCUAUACGGACUACCAAGUGGGCUAUGAUGGAAGUGUUCUCUGAUGGGCAGGUGGGUGUAACUUUCAGGAUCUCUGCCUUUGUGUUUGAUUAAAUUUAUCCCCUUAAUCAUCAGACAUGGAAAAUGUGGUCGAUUGUCAUGAACCAAGAACUGAACUUUUCACAAUAACUAUGAAAUAAAAUUCCAACAACGUCGCAUGCAAACUAAAAAUUCUUAUUAUCAUCGAAAUAUUUGAGCACCUACCUUAAAUUCAUCAACUUAUGGAGAAUGGGCAGACACCAUUCGACGAAAACAAUUCAGAAAAUUGAAAAAAAAUAAUAAGAAAGCAAUGCCUGCUUUAUCAGCAUACCUCGGAGUCGUCGAUAUCUGAGAGGCUUUCUGAGACAUCGCCAUCCGCAGUUGACAUUGCAGCUUGCCGCCUUCUUUUGUAAACUCUGGGUUCUUUUGAAUUUUAUGUAAUUUUAGGUCUUGGGUUUUCCAGUAUUCAUGGAACUUGAAUUUAUAUCGACAGUAAUGUCGGCGACCAAACAAGAACCGACCUAGUUCGGUUUCCCUUUUAGUAUCAAAUCAGUCCAGAUUUGGUUCUGAUUUUUUAAGUUAAACGCGUUAACAAGUUAAAUGUUAAAUUUGAUUUCUAUUUUUUACUGUUUAUUUUGAUGCCAUGAUCUGUUGAUCAAUACAGAAAUUUUAUUUUUUUAAACAUCCUUUUUAUGAGUAAAAUGUAAGUGAAAAAGAUAAUAAAAGCCCAAAAUCUAAAGGGCUAGGCCCAAAAUAGUAGGGGAAUUUAAUCAAGAAACCAGAAAAACUCAGCCCAAUCUGAAAACCAUGUGGUUUUUUUUUGGGUGAACAAAACCAUGUGGCAAGCACAAACGCCAUGCAUUACAUCUUACAUUGUAGAAACGUAUUCCUACUGCUGGAACCAAAUUCGCGCACAAUCAUUGGUAUACGAAUAAUCGUUGGAAUCUCAUGAACACCGAUAAAUAGAAGAAUUGUUUGGAGUAUAUAACUGAAUUCGAAAAUGAUUGCCUACAUAUCUCCUCGUCAAAGAGGAAGAAUCAAAUCACGAGCAGUUCUGCGUUGUAUGAGCAUGUAUGCGUUAGAUGAGAUAUCAGAUAUACGUUAUAUCUCCUUGGAGUGAAUCCUAACUUGAAUAUUUAUAGAUGAUAUCUUUCAACUCUUUGUCUUGCUUUGCAUGAAUGCUUAUGCAUAUGUAAAGCGACAUAUCAAAGCCAAUAUUCUCGAGCUAUAAUCAUGCAAAUAUAAAGUAUAAAACAAUAAUUCAUUUAGCAAUCAAACACCUAAAGCGUCAUUCACAUCAAAUAAAAUGAUAUGAGCAAUAAUUAAAGCUAAGUAGGUAAAAGAUCAUCUUACCAUUAUGUUGUUCUCCUUAAAAUUUCAUUAUUUCAAUUUGAACUCUUUUGUAUAUGUUUCUCCAUACAUUAGUUCUUGUUCUUUAUUUUUAGUGUGGAUCAGAUUCAAAACUCUUUUUCCCACACCAACUCACUUUUUUUUUCUCAUUAACCGACUCCCUCUCACCACUUUCUUUCUUUUCAACUCUCUCCCAACCUUCCAAAACCUCAUUAUUUUCCUUCUCUUCUUCCAGUUCUUUCCCUUCCAGUAGGCUAUUCUCACACCUUCACUUCCCACAAACACCCCCUUCUUUCUCUUUGUCACAGAUGACAAACUACAAAACAACACUUCUCUCUCUCUCUCUCAGUUGUUUUCAUUUUUAUUAACUUGUUGCUCACACUCUUUUCUUUUCUUUUCCUUGCCUCACACAACUCCCUCGACACCUCUCCUUCUCUUUCCUUCUUUUAUGCUUUUCUUCAACCCCUUAUCUUCUUUAAUAUAGCUGAAAAUUUGCAUAUGUAACGGGAGUAGAAUUGGUGAGCAACAUAAAAUGGAGAUGUAGGCCAAAGAGGCUGGCUGAGAAGGCCAGCUCAACCGUACAUAAGCUGUUCAAACUGAUGCAUAGGCCAACAUACAGAUUAGGUUGUCGAGCUUCUUGGAUAAUUUAUAGAAGAGAUGAUAAGGAACAAUUUUUGUGAAUGAAGUGUUUUUGUUUGAUCACAGUAAGUUGGAUUUUUAAGCUCCAAACAUGACUGUAUGGUUUUCCGCCGAUUUUCAAGGCUGUAUAGUAUUUUGAUAAUCUGGAAUGAAUGGACAGUUAGAUCUUUCUGAGACUUUGAUAUGUUAAGUUAGAGAGAAUAAGGAACGAUUUCUAUGAAGAAAAUAUUUUGAUAUGAGUAAGAGAAAAUGUAGUUUCGAAGCUCACAACAGGCCUGACGGGUUGACAGACGAAUGCUGAGCAGUCACUGAUUAUACCUGAGUUUCUGAAGUUAUACAGCUCCUAUGGAUCUCAUAUUUGGAUAUGUUGUAUUUAACGAGUUAACGAACAACUUUCUUGAAGACGGAUUUUUGAUUUGAAGUAUAGAAAAUGGUAAUUUGAUCUGCAAAACAGAUAUGACGAAUUUCUGGUUCUUGAAAUUCUUUCUCUUGAUAACUAGAAGAAAAUGAUGAUGAGUUUGGUGGAGAGAUUUGUUGGGUAAGCUCUUAUGCAUUUUUUGGGAUUUGUAUGUGAUUUCUUUCUCCGGAUUCUCGUUGAAAACUAGAAGGAGAUUUGGUGGUGCUUCACAGAGUUGGAUAAUGGUGUUUCACUAGAACUUGAUAACACAAACAUUCACAUAAACACACAGUAUAGGAGUGGUUCGUCAAAGUGACUACAUCCAUUGAGGUUUGCUUUCAUUUGUAUUUCACUAUAUAUGAGAGACUUACAAAUACAAUGAAAGAUGACUUAAAACGUUUACAUAAGGUAAAAUAAAUGGAUGACGAAAGAGGAAUGGUCUGAGAAAGAGAACAUUCUUUUUGCUAGUGUGUUCUUGCUGGUGUGGUGUUCUCCCUUUUUUUUCCUCGUGUCCUUCUUCUAGUUCUUGCUCCUUCCUUUAUAGGGAUCAUAUGAGAUCUUCCUUCUCACAACGUGUACAAUCUAACUUGAGGUUAAAAGCUCCGUAGUGUCCCAAUAGAAAGACACAUUGUGCAAAUUAUUAACCAUUAAUAAUGAUAUGUUAAACUUAUCAUUAAUAAUGAUAUGUGUCCCAAUAACAAAGCAAAAUGUGUUAGCUAAUCCUGAACAAAAAAUAUCAUGUAAGAUGGAUGCAUGUCUAAGGCCACGUUAAAGUUUAUCUUAUGGUGAGCUUGUUGGAACAAAACAUAUGGUAACUCUACAAAUUGGUAGGAUAUCCGGAUGGUGAAUUAAAACCUCCAAAACCCAUGGUUAUAAUCACACCUCAAACUAAAACCAAAAGAGUAGCAAAGUAUUUAAUUGCUAGUGGCACGCAAAUGAGAAAUACAAAGCCUAACAAAUCAAUCUACAAAUAAAGUGAAACAUAUAGGUAUUUGUUAACUAAUGAAAAAAAGAACUUGGUAUAUCAAACUUUAGCAUAAAACACAAAUUAAAAGUACUUCGACACUUUUAUAUAUAUACCCACUUUUUAAAAUACGGAGUAUUACACUUGCACAUGCCUCUUAUAUAAAGUUGUUUUAGUCCUUUCACGAUCAAGCUUAACAUAUACGACAUUGUUCUUCUUUUAACUCCAAGCAUGAACUUUCCCCUCCUAAAAACUUAGGCUCCAAAUCAUUUCAAUUGUUGCCUAAUUUUUUAGGGAGGAAAGCUCAUAUUUGGAUCCAAAAGUAGAAAAUGUUAUGGAUGUUAGACCUGCAUAGUGAAAAGAUCGUAACACUCUAUAACAAAUAUACUUAUAAUUUUGAGUUUGUUUUUGUAUUGCAUGUGGUUUAAUAUUCUAGUAAAUAAGUCAUUGAGUUUCCACCUAGGUGUCUCAGGUUCGAGAUUCUCCCCUCAUAAAUUAUUUCAAAAAAGGUAACAUAUUGAAAUUUGAAUAAAAGUUAAGGUGACAAAUACAAAAUUUGCCUUUUCUUCUCUAUUAUGAAACUGGACCAUCAACAUUAAGGCUCAAUUUAUAGACCCAAAAAGGCCUUAUUAAAUUAUAAUUAUUAAAAUGUGUAUUAUAUAAAAGGAAGGGGUCCAAAACAAGUACAAGGGUGCACAAAGCGAUAAAAGGAGCAUGCGGAAAUCAUUUCCCGACAUUUAUCACCUUCCUUCUACUCUAAUGCCAGUGAGCAGUGAUUGAGUGACAUUUACAGGAGAAGGCGCAGGGUCAAUCCAGGGAGUGUUAGCACCACUUGCAUUGCUGCCUCCCGGCUGAUAGUUGAGGCGAACAUUACUAUCCUUGGAUGCAGUUGAUGGGGUAUCAUCCCCCACCAAAAAACUAUUUGUUGACAAUGUUAUUACAUCUUUAAAAUCAUAAUCUGUCAAAUAACUUGGCUUCGACAUGACAGUGCCUAAGUCAAUGUCUCCAGAGAGCAUUGCAGCCACGCGUGACAUAGAUGGCCUCGCCAUCGGUGAUCCCUGCGUGCACAAGAGAGCUGCUCGUAUCAAUCUAGUUGCUUCAGUUUCAUCAAACUCUGUCAAUCUUGGAUCCACCAGCCCCAGAGUUUGGUCGUUUUCAUGUAGAGUCCAUACCUGAAAAACAUUAUGCCACGGUCAAAGGAAAGUAUAAAUAAGUUUUUCACAACAAUGCCAAAAUGAAGCUAGGGGGAUGCAAUUCCUACCCAUUCAAGAAGAUAAAUCUUUUUUGGAUCCAAGUUAUUGUAAGAGUUUGGUCUCCCGCUGAGGAUCUCCAAAACGACGACUCCAAAACCAAACACAUCGACCUUCUCUGUCAAAUGUCCAAACAAUGCAUACUCCGGUGCCAAAUAGCCUCUGCAAUGCAAGAUAAUCAAAUGGUUGCACAAUGUUGCUUGAGAUCAUUAGAGGCAUUAUUAACAUGUGUGUUAAAAUUUCAUGCAAGUAUAAAUGUGUGUGGCCAUAAUGUAUGUAUCCUCUAGAAAAACAAUAAAGGAUGGCUUACAUUGUCCCUGCAACCCGGGUGCUGAUGUGGGUUUUCUCGUCAUCAUAAAGCUUUGCUAGUCCAAAAUCUGAUAUUUUUGGGGAGAGUUCUGCAUUGAGCAAAAUAUUACUCGCUUUGACAUCUCGAUGUACAAUCCUUGGCCUUGACUCCUCAUGAAGGUAAGCAAGUCCUCUUGCUGUUCCCAACAAUAUAUUGAAUCGAGUAGGCCAAUCAAGGUGCAAGUUACUUGUUCCUGAAAUAUUAGUGAACACAUCCAAUCAAAAACAUUUCUUAACAAUUUUAGAGUGCUUGAAACUGUAGACAAAUGCAACCUAAAAGUAGAUAGGUUUGUACCAAAAAGUGCUUGAUCAAGGCUCUUGUUUUCAAGAUACUCAUAAACCAAAAUGCGGUGGCUGCCUUCGAUGCAGCAUCCAUACAAUUUCACUAGAUUUCGAUGUUGCACAGCAGAUAUGGUAGCAAUUUCAGAUACAAAUUGACUCUUCCCUUGGUGAGAUGCUACUGAAAGUUGCUUCACAGCCACUACUCUCCCAUCAGAAAGUGUACCCUACAAUGUACACAGAAACACAAUUUAGUGACAUGAAAGGAAAGAAAAAAAAAGCUUUAUUUUCUUCUCUCCCUCGCUCGCUCUCCCUCCCUUUCUCUUGUCAUUACUUCAAGUACAUGAUACUGAUGUAAUACGGAUUUCACCUUAUAAACAGGGCCAUAUCCUCCUUCUCCUAACUUAUUUGAAGGAUUAAAAUCUUCGGUUGCAGCUCUCAACUCAGCAUAACUGAAAGUAUUUGGUCGAGGGCCUAAUCCUAGAAUAUCUGCACAUUCACGAAACAGUGUGAUAUAAGUUUUACUUUCGUGAAAGCAUUCUUACUUGUGUGUGUUAAUGUCAAAGCAGAGAAACCUGAAUUGGAUACCACUAAUAAUAUGGUCGUUUACCUUCAUCGUCGUCCUCUUUUUCUGAUUUUUUCCUCCUCAUAUAUAGAAUCGCAAAUAUUAAUAGCAAGCUCCCAACUCCAACAGGAACUGCAAUACCAACUAUCAAUCCAGUCUUGCUUUUCUUUCCUCGAGUAGUUGGUGGAAGCCCGGAAACUGUUGGUGUAAAAUCUGAGUGAUAAAACAGAUGAAUUCUUCAGUGUCAAUUAACAGCAGAAAUAUACAUUUAAACCAUUCAUAGGAAACCUCUACUAGUUAACACAAAUUAUACCUGAAGCAGCAUGGACAGCUGCUAUUAGUGGGCCGUAAUCACCAAAAUCGGGUAUGCAACAAGUCCCCUUACCAGCCCAGAACAGAUGAAUUUCAAGAUAAUUCUCUGACACGCUAACAUUGAAUCUUUCCAUAAUUCCUAUUUUAACCCCACCAGCCUCCUUGGAUAUUUCAAAGUCCCUCGUCCUGCGGGUACCCUAGCAACCAAAUGAAGAGCUAGGUAAUAAUUCUAGUCUCCUUUAAAUUAUAAGAGACUUUGAAUGCGGUCCCUAAUUACCAAUGUCAUUUGACUGAAAUCUUGAUGAUUUUCAGUUUUAUAUUAAAAUUCCUGACAUUAAUGUAAUAAUAUAUUUUUAUGUAGGUUAUUAUAUUUUAAAUUAAAUUAAAAUUCCUGACAUUAAUGUAAUAAUAUAUUUUUAUGUAGUUUUUUUUCUUAUGCAGGUUAUUAUAUUUUAAAUUAAAUUAAAAUUCCACCCCACCCACACCAAGCCUUGAACCUGGGACUUAAUCUACCCCACCCCAUUACUACUAGGCUAUUCCUAGUGGCUUAAAUUGAUAUUUGUAGUUGUUUAUAUUAAUGAUAUUUUAAAAUAAAAUCCAUAAUUUAUGGGAUUAAAAACAUUAAAGGAUAAAGUAUACUCUCUAAUAUAUUGUGUGUGUAUAUAUAUACACAUACAUACAUACAUACAUACAUGGGUACAUUCAUCAAAACUAACCAAAAAAUGGGUACAUUUUUCAGAAGAAAAAAAAAGGCUUAAUAACAUAUUAAAUUUCUUCGAUUAAACUACACAUGGAUACAUUUUCAAAUCAACAAAAUAGAAUGCGUCAUUUAUAAAUUUAAAAAAUGGUUUUAAAAAAAAAUGAAUGGAUUUUAUAUGAAAAGGGGUACAUUUUUUAUAUUAAAAAAUGGUACAUUUAUAUAUAACAAAUUGAUAUAUUUAAGAAUAGGUACAUUUAAGAUUAUAAAAAAUUGAAAAAUAUAUGAAUGGGUACAUUUAAGAUUAAAAAUUAAAAAUAUUUUAUAAAAGAUUAAUGGGUACAGACUUAUUCUAUUUUUUAUUUUUUAUUUUUAUUUUGGAAAUGUUUUGAAUUGAAAAUAAUUAGGAGUGUAAUAAGGGUGUGAGUAUUAAAACUCUAAAUCAAUUAUUAAUUUUUAUUUUAAAAAGUUAUGUAACUAACAUGCAAAUUCAUUAAUAAAUUAAUGUUAGUAACUUCGAUCAAAAUCUAAAAAUUAAUAAGGUCUUAGUUAAUAAACAUUAGUAACUAGGAACCGCAUACUAAAUUUUCCUUAAAUUAGUAUCUUUAGUUAAAGUAGCUUAUAAUAUCGAAAACCUGCCCAAUGAGUCUUUACUUCAAAUAAGUUAGAUUUUUUUUUUCUUUUCCCAUAAGCAGCCUUACCUGAAUAUAGAUAUCAAACACACGUCGUCCUAGACUUGCCCAAGUUUGCUCAAUGCGCCUAUCAAAACCGUCUCUGCAAAGUGCAACGUUACAGUGUAAGGUCCAUUCUCAAGACCCAGGCCAUAGUAUCUCAGUGAUCCUGGGGACAAUCUUGAAGUCUGGAAAAGCUCCGGGGUCACAUCUGUUCCGGUGACUUGCUCAAGGGUAUUUUCCAGAAACGAUCGGUUCACUCCGUCAGAAAACAUACCGACAUUGCUGACAGCCCAAUUCUCUAUACUGGUUACAUUGAAUGUUGCUGGACCAAGAGCUGAGUCUUCGGCCUCAUACGAUAUGCCAUCACGUCCCUUCAUUUCCGGUCCACCACAGUUGAUUGAGAAGUUUGCAUCUGUAAGUUUCAUGUAUUACCAGAAUCUACCCAUGAUUAGCGAUGAAACUUCAAAUUGAAGACUCAUACUAAUGUUUUUCAGUCACAUAUUUCUGACCAGUUAUGCUUAUUUCUGAACUUAUGAAAACAUGCUGGCAAUCUAUAUCCAUAUGUAUACAUAACUAGAGAAGCAAUGCCUUCUCUAACAUGACGUUGAGUUAAAACAGUAAAUGUUGGGUGACAUAAAAGCAGAUUACAUCGUGGGGCAUUUCGAUUGCAUGGAAAAUUUCUCUGGAGGCAAUUCAAUCCAGGAAGAGUACUGCAAACACAGAGAACAAUUAUUAGUUAUCCAGAUAGAAGCAUAUAGUGGAAGAGUAGUGAUAGUAUUGCUUGUCUAAAAACCGGCAACAGAAACUUCAACUCACGUUUUGUUUUUUUCGUCAAAUGUGAAGUUGUUGACCACUAAGUUCCUGCAUAAAAUCAUUAAUCAAUCAACAUGUGAAGAAAUAUCUCUGUCAAAUGAAAAUUCCAUGUACAAGAUCAAAACUUAAUAGGCAAGUAGCACUAUGAGAACGAAUCACAGUGAUAUUUUUUGUCCGAACAUAUUCUAGGGAUUUAAAUUGUAAAAUGAAGGUGAAAGAUAAAAGGAGACGUACAGUUGCGAUAUUGUGAUCACCCACUGGGAAAGCUUCCUGAUAAAAAAAUUGUAAGACAAAUCUCUGCUAAUAACAAAAUAGAAUCAGAAGACACAAAAUGCAUGAAAGUUAUAAGAACUUCAACUUGUGUAAGAUAAAGGAUUAGAAUGCUUACAAAAUGCACAAACACAUACAUGCACGUGCACACACAGGUACAAAGUACUGGUUUCAGUGUCAAUAGACUCUGUACAUUCUAUAUGACUACUUUUAAGAAACGAGGACUUACAUAGUCUGAAGUCGAUCGCUCUUUUGGCUCGGAAGAGGUCCGGACAGACUAUUAUUUCCAAGAAACCUGGCCAUUUCGAUUAUAGUAGAAGGCACCCAGAAAAGAAAAAGAGAUGAGCAAGAAAAAGGUCAGAUGUGCAUAAAAUCUAUAAGGAUUAGUCCAGAUCUUCAAUCAAAGUAGGGAAUGUUAAGAUUUGAUAACUUAUGUAUGAUGAGGCAAGCAAAAUAUAAUAAUAAGAACGGGGAUUACAAGGAUGUAAGAGAACUCAUGGUGAACAAAGAACUUGGGAGUUGGCCUGUCAAAUUGUUGAAACUCAGAUCCCUGCAACACCAACGAUAAGUUGAGAGAAGCAAUCAGAACGAAAGAAAACUAAUUGGCCUCGUUGGGACUCAAGCUUAUAUGCACUAGUACGUACAGUAUCUGUAGACUUUGAUAUUCUCCAAUAUCAGAUGGGAUGGUACCAGUGAUUAAUGCGUUUCGUAGUUUUCUGUUCACAUCAAAUUUGAUAAAAAGUAGAUGGAGUAAGAUAUCAAAAGGAAAAAGGACAACGUUGGAUGAAAGUAUAUGGAUCGACAAGAAUUCUUCACUUACAAUUCAGUCAAGUUCUUCAUAUUUUUAAUGAAAUCAAGAGAGGAGCUCCCAUCGUAUAUAUCAUUGAUAUGCCUACAUCAUUAUAUGCAAAAUAACUGAAAUCCCGUCUUCGGAGAAAGGGAAAGAAUUACAAUUUAUGAAGCAUUUGUACUUACAGAGAUUUCAAUGAGGUCAGUUGAGAAAAGCUGGUUGGUAUUGGGCCUUCCAAAGAGUUCCCUUGAAAUCGCCUACAGAAACAUAUAAGAAGCUUGUGAACAAGUUAUCCAUCUCAGGUCUGCUUUCAUAAACUGCAUAAGAUCAAAAUUUUUUGUGCUUACAAAGAAAUGAGUUGUGUCCAAUUCCCUAUGAAAUCAGGAAUCUUUCCUGAGAAAAGACUGUCUGAUGUCCAACUAAAAUUCACAAAGUUAACUUAUAAUAAGCUCAUCCAAGAAAAGCAAUCUCAAAGUACUAGAUAAACGAACAAAUCUAAAAUACGAUUUAAGAGCCGUUCUUACAAGAUUUGCAUACUGGUUAGCUUGGCAAAUGUUGAAGGAAUUUCACCACUGACUCCACAGCUGUCCAUGUAACUGUGAAAAUCAUAAGGCAACUGAUUAAUACCCAUCUUAUACGAUAAUGUGCAAUUUUUGCUUAUGCGUAAGGAACUACAUGUAAUUCAAAUUUGAUGAUUUAACGAACCACUUACAUUUGCUGGAGCUUGACUAAAUUACCAAGUUCUGGAGGGAGUGUUCCGGAGAAAUUAUUUGAUCCGAAGCCCCUGCAAAUCAUGUUGAACAGGCAAACAAUUACUUGAAAGCAAUUAUUGAAGAGUGACAGAAGGUUCUGUAUCUAAUGUUUACGACACAAAAUGUUACUGUACGCUUUCUCAUUUUUCAUGGCUUACAGUAUACUUAGCUCCUUAAGGUUUCCAAGCUCCUUGGGGAUGGGCCCAGAGAAUGAAUUGUGGCCAAUUUGCCUGAAUGGAGAUAUCAGUUAACUAAAGAUAAGCACCAUUACAGUACGUUACAUUAAGAAACUAGUACUGCAUUAUUCAACAAAAACAUAAUGGUUUGUAUAGAUUACGGUGCAAAUUAUAGAGAAAAGGUGUAAAGAACAUAACUGUAGAUUAUGAUAUUCAAAAUGAAGUACACAAAUUGCGACUAGUCUCAUCAGAAGUAUGAUACUUAAAACAAAUUUUCUCUCACUACUUACAAUUCAAUCAAUGCAGACAUAUUGCCAACGAAUGCCGGUAGGGAACCUUUGAAAUAAUUCUUAUCGAUUUUCCUACAAAAAUUGAAACGAAAUGUAAUCAUUAACUCUUAAUCUUACGACAUCACCAUAUUUUUAAUUUCCAAUUGAUAAGUUUGAUGAACCAAAAACAGAGAAGGGAGUUGGAAAAAAUUCAUACAAAACUGCGAGAUAUCUUAGAGCCAAAAGUUCUUCGUGAAACACCCCUCGUUUGUACAGAGCUUGCACUUUCCUGGAAAGCAAAAAGAUUGACCAUUUAGAACUUUAUAAAAUGGAGUGGCACAGUCAAAUUAUUGACUAAUAGAUAUAGGUAUAGCUAGCGAAAAAUCAGCAUUGGCAGAGAAAUCUUGUUCAUAAAGAGAGAGUAGUUUAACAUACAGUUUGGUGAUGUGGCAUGUAGCAUUGUUGUCGUAAGAACAGUUGCAAACGAUGGCUGGGUUGAUAUUGGGGCUAUCAAUGUCGGUGCCGUCGAUGGCAGAUCCACUGCAGGGUUUUCCGCUGAUAUUCCACAGCCCCGACAUUGCUUGUGUGUCCCAUUGUUCAAAUAUUAAGUUCAACGCCCUCACUGCACCCUCAGUUAAUUCAGUCCUUGUGUGUAUUAUAUUAUAUCACACCAUGAUUCGACUUGUGUUACCACUUACCAGACUAUCUCGAAUCAAAUGAGAGAUCAAACUGAUUAUAACAAAGGAAAAUUACCCUUAAAUUGGAAGUUUUGUAUAUGGGAAGAAAAAUGGUUUUGCAAAUAACUUCCUCAGAAACUUCAUUUCAUAUAGUCGAAAAACACUUAAAUGUCAUUUUGUUGAGGGAAAACAGCUCAGUUCAUGGUCAAAAACACUUAUAUGUGGCAAAUUGUGUAUGUGUGUAGGGAGGGAGAGAUACAGAGAGACAAAGAGACAGAGAGAGAGAACCUUCAGAUGGGUCAGUGGUAGCAUUUUGAACAAAGGACAGCUGAAAACACAAGCAGCUGAGGAAGCAUAGUAAUAGUAUCCUCAUCAUCAACUUCAUCUUCAUAUUGUAAAUGUGCAGAACUUGCUCUCCUCGACGGCGUGAAACUAAACGGCCAACCCUUAUAUUCCGACUGGCUGAAUCUUGCAUGUAAAAAGAAGACCAUAAGAUUUUAGUCAUAUAUUGACAACGUGUGCGUAUAUACUUAAAUUUUGUCCAAGUUGUAGAUCAAAUGGCGGCCAACACCUUUUAAAUUUCCCACUUGGAGUUGGCUAAGGCUUUGAUCGUAGUAGUUGGAUUGUAUAUUGUCGUAUUAGACAUUGAGCUGCUUUAGUGUGGAGAUAUUUAUGUACAAUUCUAUAUUGUUAAUACUUUUCUGGUUGAAAAUAUCAAGGGAUUGACUUACGGAUCAAUAUUCUGACUCGUCCACUACUAAUAAUGGAGAGGGAUUUUUAUUUGAUAUGACAUCUAACGAGGAUGUCAUCAUGACAAUAUCUUAAACUAAUCACAUUAUUAUGUAUGACAAAAUUGAAUUGUAACUUUGGUCUAAAAUGGGCGGCUCUAAGCAAACAAGGAUUCCUGCCUUGGAAGGAUGGGAAAAGAACGUCCAUUAUAAGUAAAAAGAUCGUUUUCACGACUCGAACUUGUAACCUUUCGGUCACAAAGAAGCAAAUUUUGCAUUGCGCCAAAGAUCGCCCUGAAUUGUAGCUUUAGUCAAUAAUCUAAAAAUUCAUUAUAGCUAUACAUGUAUUCGACAAAAUAUGAAACACUGGUUAUUGACGCUAAUUCUAUGAGAAUUUUUAUUAAAAGGAGCAUACAUGCAAUUCUCUAAUUUACUCUUCUUAAAGGUAUUCCUCGGAAUUUUGGCCAAAAUUCUUAGCGCGAUAGACUAAUGCUUAACAUUGGUCAAACUUAAAUACUAUCUCUAAUAGAUCUUUAAUUUGCAAACUAAAACUACAAUCAAGUCAUAAUUCACAAAUUAGUCUAGUACAUUAAUUAUACUGUUCAUAUCAAAGACUCAUACUCAUCCUCGCAAUCGUAUCAAUAAGUUCAUCUCUCUUAGCAUAAAAUAAAAUUGACAGGUUUUAUCAACCAGUUAUACGCAUUGGUUGGGAAAGGCAAGGGAGACACAUAUACUGCCUAAGUGGAAUCCGGAUCCUGACAGAGAUUUAUAAAUCGUGUUCGUUUAACGUACUUCAUGUGAUCAAAAAUUAUUUUUUAUUUUUUAUUUAAAAUAAAAUGCAAACAGCAUUUGACACAAUUUAACCGUAUAACGUACGAUUAACAUACAUAAUUCACAGCUUUUCAAGUACCUCACAAAAAAGAGAAUCCAAAGAAUCAUGUUAGGCCUAAGUGGCCUUUGGUGUAUGACACGUAGGUUGCACAUGCAACGCGAUCAACUUGCGGAUCAACUUGCGGGAGUUGACGAGUCUUCCAAAAAGUUCAAUAAGUAUUUUUUUGGUAAAAAAAAAGUUCAAUAAGUUUAAUCAUGGAUAAGACAUUAUAUAAGGGAUUAAUCUCAGUUUAUUAUUAUAAAGUUUCAUAAUUUUUAAUAUUUGAUAUAUAAAUUUUUUUUAUCCUAAAAUCAUAGCUCACGUCUGUUAAACUGAUUGUUAAGUCAACUUUUAAUUGGUAACAUGACACACAUAUCAACAAUACGUUACGCAUCAUUAAAGGUCCACGUGAAUAUUAAAAAAAAUUAAAAACUAAAAAAUUAAAAAACUUAAGAAAAUAAAAAAAAAUUGAGCGAUGAUGCAGCCUGCUGCUAUCCUUCUUUCUCUUCUCUCCCUCAAAUCUCAUAUCCCCAGCAACCCUUGCCCUCGCGACCUCGUAACCGUCGCCCUUCAUCUCGCUGCCACUAGCAAUGGGUGGGCGGAGAUCGAUUCGGCCACCAACGGAGGAAUUGAAAGGGAAAAUAAAGCGUGCCCGAUGAUAAGCCUAUCGAUCCGAUUUGCUCCGAAGAAUUAGAAUUCUUUGUCCAUGGAGUUUGCCCAUUUUAUUUUUUCCAAAUCCAAUUUCCAUCGUGCGUUUUCCUUUGCCCUUAAAAAAAAAUGCAGAAAUUUGGGAACGAAGGUGAAGGCAGAGAAAUCCCGCUCAUCUCUUCACUCCAAGGCCAAAUCCCACUCAUUGGAUUUUCAUCUCUUCUACCUUAAUCCAAGCCGCGGUGGAGCUGGGCAAAGCCGAAGGCAUGCCAGACUCACCAGUCCAGAUCCCAACCAUUUCUUUUCUGCCUGAACCACCCAGCCAACCCCGAACCACCAGGACCCGCACUCGACCCGUCGCAAGCUCGCGCCUGCCUGACCACCCGCUGCAACCCGCCAGAACCACAAAAUUGCAUCCCCGUCGCACCCAGAUCGGCAGAAGAACUAAUUGCAGAAGAGUGAAAAAGGGACGGGGGAGAGGAAGCAACUAUCCCCACCUUUUUCUAUUUUUUUUUAUUUUUUUAAUGUUUCUUAAAUUUAUUAAUUUUUUAAGUUUUUUAAAUUUUAGUUUUUUUUUGUAAUUUUCACGUGGAUCUUUAAUGAUGCGUGUGACGUUCAAUCAUUAUUCACAUGAACAUAAUGUUACCAGUUAACAGAUGACAUAACAGACAACUUAACGAAUAUAUAAGACUAUCUGAAAAUUAAGACUUGAUGUAUGACUUUGAAAUAAAAAAAAUAUUUAUGUACCAAAUAUUGAAAAUUACGAAAUUUUAAGUUAAUAAACUGAGAUUAAUCUUUAUAUAAAAUAUGCAAAUAAUUAUUAGAUAUUGGCAAACCACAGUAAUUUUAUUUAUUUAUUUUUUUAAGCAAGCAAAUGGACUGGGAAAUAUACUGCUUUCGAAUGCAUCUGUUGAUCACAGUUAAGGAUGAACUUUAACAUUUCGAAAGAGAGAGCCAGCUAGCUAGCAGUUGAUCUCCUGUAUUUUAUAGGUGUAUAUCAUAUGGAGAGACAGGGAGAGAGAGAGAGAGAGAGCCGACCUGCUGUUGAAGCAGGAGGAGGAGCUGAAGCAGAAGCAAUAAAAAAACUGGAAGGAAGAGAUCAGAGAUGGCGGCUGCUUCGCCCACUAGUUCUGAAAUUCAUCCCCUCUCUCUCUCCUCUCUCUUUUUCCUAAUAAGAGCCAAUGAGAAUGAAAAGGAUAAUUCCCACCAUGGCACCGUGGGAGUAGUGUACAUAUAUGGACCUGGAUUGUUUGUCUUUCUAUCCUUUUCUAUUUCUGUGAUCACAUGUUAACAUUUUAUAUUAAAUUUUUUAUAGAAAUAAUAAAUCACGUCAAUAUUUUAUAUUAAUUUUUUUUUAUAGAAAUAAUAAGACAAAAAAAAUGAAAAUAUAAAAUGUUAACAUGUCUUAAUGGUGAUCACAGAAAUAGGAGAGAAUAAGAAUAAUAUGGAAUGAGGAGGGCAAACAAUCAAGGUCCCAUAUAUAUAUAAUGGCAUAAUCAAGGUUCUAAAAAACGUUAGGCACUAGUCAGGUUGUGGGAUGGUGCCUAGCGCCUAGGUUGCUAGGUAAGCGGCCUAGGCGGAUUUAGGUAAAUUUCUUAUAUUUUAUAUAAAUUAAUUAAACUUACUAUAUUAGGUGUAAAUAAUUAUUGAAUAAUAUGUUAUUUCUUAUAGAAGAACAUACACAUGUGAAUGUUUUAUGUACAUAUAUAAUAUGCUUGCCUAGGAAAAAAAACAAAAUAUUAUCUAAAUUAACAUUUAUAUACAUAUAAUAUAGAUAUACACCCCAAACUUUUAAAAUAUAAAAACCCACACAAGUAGGUGGUUUUCAUGAUAAAACCAUCUUACCCUUUAUAAUAUAUAACUUUUAAAAAUAUCAAAAGCUCACGCAAGUGAGGUGGUUUUCAUGAUUACAACUAGACUUGUAAACGGAUAACGUGUUAGAGAUUUUAAUAAUAAAGAUAUAAAUUAUUAUUAUAUAUAUAUAUAUAUAUAUAUAUAUAUAUAUAUAUUGGUGCAGUGCACCAGCAAUGUUUGACAGAUGAUGGGAUUGGAUCAUUGACCCAACAAUCACACCCUUUGUUAAUAAACGCUGCACCUUUCUGUGUUUUGGCGAAAAGGUGUGAUGUAACCGAAUGCAUUUUUGCAUCAGACAAACAUUGUUGCAAUGUUCAGUUGUAUCUCAUGAUGAGAGGAUACACCCAAAACCAAAGGAUAUGUCUAAAGGUGCAAUUCUCUCUAUAUAUAUUGGUAAUAUUAGUAGAAAAGAUUCAUUAAUUCAGAAAUUAGUUAUCUACAUAAUUUCUUUGUUCUCUUUUCUCUCAUCAUCACAUUCAUACAAUUUCUUUCUAGUUAUUUCUAAGGGAAUAUAAUUCGGUUUUGCUAAUCGAAUAUUUCAUACUUUGUUGUAUCCUGGAAGUGAUUUGCCAAGAACCCUUUAGCAAACUCAUUCGAGUGGGGGCAAAUAACACUUUAAGGAAACGAUUCAAGUCGUACCUCAAAGUCAUUAUUCGGAUUAUUCUCCAUAUUUCUAUAUUUAAUCUAACAUAACGGGUCAUCCGAACCCAACCCGUUAAGCUUAACAGGUCACCCGAAUCCAACUCAUUAAACUAAUGAAUCACCUGUUUUAACCCGUUUCACCCGUUAACUACCAUUGAAUUGAAAACCAAAGAUGUCUUUUUUGGAAGUGGAGACCGCAAAGCGAUGAAUCCAAGACGAUGUGAUUGUCUUGCACAUGCCACCAUUGAAUUUGAAUCCUCUCUUCCUCCUUCUCCAUACCUACAAAAAUAAAUUCAGAAAUUAAAUAUAAAAAAAUAAAAACAAAAACUGGCAUCUUCCCAAAUGAAACCCGAAGUGAAAAAUCGAAAUUUUAACAGUUGAAGGAAGCUUACAAUGAGACGUUUCCAUGUAAAUUACAUAACUUUGAGUCUCAUAUCCAACUUGCACCACCACAAAUAUUUGACUUCUCUUCUAGCAAACAGAGAGGUAGACGGCGAGACUCGGGAAGACAAGAAGGUUGUGAGUCUUGCGACUGAAGUUUCUUUUCCAGGCUGCCCAGACCGCACAAUGUCCGUCGAGCCCGCCUAGCCCACCCAGGCGGCUGUCUUACAUCGCUUAAUGUCCUUGCCGAUUUAGUGAACGAUUUCUAGUUAAUUGUGGUGGAGCACCGCCGCCUAGAGCCUAGGUGGCCGCCUAGACCGCGUUUUAGAACACUGGGCAUAAUUGGUCGUCGAUGUCAGUCUGUCUAUUCUCCAAACUAGCAAUUUGUUUAUUCUUAAAAUGCAAACGACGCUUUUCUAUAAGGGCGAAAAGUUUGUUUAUGUAUUUUGACGUGAGUAAUGUUAAAGAAAUUAAAUUUAGAGGAAUAAUUUAUAAAUUAAAUGAUGUGUCAUCAAUACGAAUAAGCAUUUUUAUCAAUGCUUAAGUAAUAAACCAAUCAUAAAUUUCUAUGUCCUUUAAUUUCUAAAACAUACCUACAAAUUUAGUCUUGCUAACAUUAUUCUUUUGAUGUUGGUUUGAUUUCCACUGAUUUCUUUCUUUCAACAAUUAACAAUUUUAUCUACUUAGGCUUUGCCUAAUGUCCGCACAAUUUUACAACUUUCAACAUGCAUUUGCUUUGGGCUGGAUGAUUUUUCUUGACCAAACCAGGAUUAUAAUUCAACAUUAGCAUGAAUGAUUCACACCAUUACAUAUAUAGUCUUACGAGUUAAUGCACAUCGACUUAGGCUUUGCCUAAUGUCCACACAAUUUUACAACUUUCAAUAUGCAUUCGCUUUGGGCUGGACCACUUCUCUUGACCAAACCAAGAUUAUAAUUCAACAUUAGCAUACAUGGUUCACACCGUUUACAUAUAUAAUCUUACGUGUUAUUCUUGUCAAUUCUAAAAAUAACUUUUUGAAUUUUUCUCAACGACAAGAUAUUUGAUAAUGUGGAUGGCAUUAAAUUAUCUCGUAAUCAAAAGAUAACGAGUCAAUGGACAAAGUUGAGGAAUUGGGAGGUGGGCUCGUUUAAGAAAGAAAUCAAAAUUUAACUUUAAAAUGUCCAGUUUGUGAACAACUUGUAAUUUAUGAAAAAAAUUGUUAAAAUGAAGGAUCCUUUGAAUUAAUAUAAUAUUUUCAGUCGUCAUUUCGUUUCGAACUUUAGUUUGCAAAGGUAUAUACUUACAACAUGAUUUUUGUAAUUAUGUUUAGUCAUAAAGGGUUUGGUACACAAACAACAAAUGGUUGCCACAAUUCUAUAGAGGACACAAAUUUAGGCUAUUUUUUUCACUUCCAUAUUCAAUAUGUGCAUAAUGUUUGGUGUGAAGGACAUUUUGUACUUGUCUGUAAGGAACUAUGAAAAUGAAUAUUUCAAUUUACCAUAUACAAUUUUAAUCUCUUCCCAAGUGGUGGAUUGCCCUAGUAUAUAGGGUCUUUCUUUCAUUUCACUACAUCCCGAAUUCAAACCUCAUACUUUCUUUCAAGAGUAUUUUAGUUCUUUUUAUAGUUUACUGUAAAAAUAUCGUUUUUAUUCUUUUUUAUAGCCUUUUUCAUUUUAAAAAGUAUCUAAAUACUUGAGUAACCUGCACGCGUAGAUAGGUAGAUAGAUAAGAUAACGUUACGUAUAUGAAGAUACGUGCGAGAAUACACUGAUUGAGGAAAAACCUAGUUGUAUCCAAGAGACAUACAUGCAAGACUAGCUCAACUUAAACCGAAAAUAACUAGUCAAAACAUAAAACUAAGCUAGUUGGCCUCAUCACGUCUAACUAUUGGACCUACGACUUGUAAUUGUAUGAUGCUAGUCCUUUGAGGUCAGUAGAUCACCGCAAUGUGCCUUUUUUUGUACAUCCAAGUUUUAAUCCGUCUCUAUCAAGUCAAGGAAAAUUUAGGUAUGCUAAAUCAAAGUAAAUUUAAGUAUUUUUCACCAAAAAAGAGAAAGUAAGUAUAGGUAUUUGAAUUGAAUUUCUCCAAAUCAAGUAAAUCUUAAUAAAUGCCCCUUCUGUUUAGAGGAUUUCUCGCGUUGGAGCUGGAGCCCAAGUAGGAAAUUCCUGGUGCCCAAGCCUAGUUUCCACCUCUCUAACAAGCUUAAAAAUGAGUAAACAUGAUAUAAGUACGUACUAUAUACAUAUAUAUAUAUAUAUAUUAGCAUAUAUAUGAAUUUAGUAAACAUGAUAUAAGUACGUACUAUAUACAUAUAUAUAUAUAUAUAUAUUAGCAUAUAUAUGAAUUUAUAAAUGUAUGGAAGAUAAAAAAAAAAAUUUGAAUUAUUUUUAUAAAUGAUAGGUAGAUUACAUUUUGUAGAAAAUUUUAUUAUGUUUCGGUGCAUAAUAUUUGCUAGACAAUAGAUGAUUAGGAUCGUUGUUUUUUUUAUUUGGUCAAAAGUCUGAAGAAAUCGACGGUGUAAGAAUUGGUGCAUAUAAUCGAAAAUCCUAAUCAUAUAUAUAUAUUUUAUGAGGAAACCUAAUCAUAUGAAUAUAUUGUUCGACAAAAAAAAAAUAAUAUGAAUAUAUUGAGGAAACCUAACCCUUGCCUACAAUCUCGUGCCAAUUUCCGCUCCUUUGGACAUAUCCUAGACCUUCCCUGCAUUCUCUCGCAGGUUCUACGGGGCGAAGCUCACUUGAAAUUUACUGGGAGGACGAGGGAGGAGCCGGAUUCAAACGGAAUGGUGAAGGUAAAGGAAAAGGACGCCAAGUCAAAGGCAAGCGAAUUGUUGUUGAGGAGGAAGGAUGGGCAAAUACUUAUUGGUUAUGGAUAACCGCGGUUAUCCGUCCAUUUCAAUUAAACGGUUACGGUUAUGGGUAACCGUUUAGAUAAAUAAACGGUUAUGGGUAAAACCGUUUACCCGCCAAAUUUAAAUGGGCGGUUAUGGGUAUUAACCACGGUUAUAAACGGGUAACCAUUUACCCAUUUAUUUUAUAUAUGUAAAACUAACACAAACCAUGUUCUCGAUCCAAUAAUACUUAGCACCCAAUAAAUUAGCAAGGAAUUCAUCGGUCCUUCUCUCAAUAACACUACUACAGGAAUGAUGAUUCUCAUCAUCAAGGAAUUGGCCAAAUUAAUUUAAAUUCUUUGCGGAUAACCGUGAAAUUGACAGAAAUGUCUUUUAAACAAUUUUUGUAACCCAAUAAUACUUAGCAAAUAUUAUAUUUACCUUCAUUGGUAACAGUUAAAAAUAUCGUCCGUAAACUAUUAUUUCAAUUAUUGGAAUUGUAUAAGGACUUAAAAAUUAAAAUAUGGAAAUGUAUGAUGAAUCUACCUAUAACGGUGUUUAAUUGUCAAAAAAAAAUUAUGACAAUUUUUUUUUUAAUUUUCAAGUUGUUAAAAAACAUGUAGACGGGUAGAAAAAGGGUAAUGGUAAAAAAAAAAGAUAAACGGGUUAAAAAUGAUAAAUGGGUAAACGGGUAUUAAACGGUUACGGUUAAAUGGGUAUGCGGUUAUGGGUAUGGGUAUAACAGUUUAGGCAAUUACCCAACGGGUAAACGGUUAUGCGGAUAUGAGCAUAAACGGUUAUGGGUAAAUUAACCGCGGUUAUCCGUUCGCAUAACCAUUGCCCAUCCCUCGGAGGAAGGGGAUCCACACAGCCAACAAGGCGACUCAGAGAUAAGAGCGCGACGCUGAUUGCCGCUUCUUGCACGACUGUGUUUCAGAUAUUUUCGCCCAGUGCCUCAAGUCUGAUAUUGAAAAAUUUCAUCAUCACAAGGAUCAUGACCAUGACCAUCAUGAUGAUUACUACUUGGAGAUUACCCAAGCGGCUACCUCUUUGCCUACCACCGCUGAUCAUCAUAUGAUGUUCAAAAACAUUGCAAGGAAGGUUUUCCCGCCAGAAUCAUGCCGCCGAGAAGGGGAUGGUAGUGUUUGUUAUAUUGACCGACUGAGGAAGGAGGUUUUGUCGCCCUUGAGAAAAACUUGUUGGAAAUUAUAUAUUAUAAUAUGAAAUAUUGUAAUAUAUAAUUUUAAUAAUUGAAUGAAAAAUAGUGUUAACCAAUUUCUUAGAAAUGUUAUGUUGUUUAACUGAUAUUCCCUUGAUAAGUGAUGUCUAUUUAUAGAUGAAAAGUUACAUCUCUUUAAUAAGUAGAAGUUGGAUUCUAUAUAAACCCAUGAAAUCAUUGGUAUUAUAUAUAGAAAAUUAGAGUUAAUUUUUACUCUUGAGAAAUAGGGUUUCCCCAAUUUUUUUCUCUCAUGCUUCGUGUCUCAAAUUCCGAGUCGUGUCUUGAGAGUACGGAAUAUAUAAAGUUCGCCAGAGUCCGAAGAUUGAAGUGCUUUGACUUCGAAUUAUAGAUUGUUGAAUCUUGGAAGAUUGACGCCUACCGAACUACAAGCACAAUAGUAGGGACGAAAUUCUAUCUUUAGAACAUUGCAUUUAUGUAAGCCUCAAUCUCCAAGUUUGUCAGUUAUUCUAACUUUCACUCUAGUUGUUUAUAUUAAUCUCAUAUAUAAUUGAUGUUAUGAAUUUCUUUAUGAUUAUUAUCAUUGGAAUUAUAUUCCUAUUUUUCAUAUUUUCUAAUAUUGCUCCAACAAAAAUAUGACGCCAGAGGGCUGGGAACCUGCCAACCGGUGGGGUUAUAGAGCGGAGUACAAGCGAAAGCAACUAGCUGCAGCAAAUGAGAUUGAUCCUGGAGAUGCCGCGCUGCUUCCGCAUGACAUAUUAAGCUAUGUCAUGUAUCCCGAGCUCGAGCAAGAUGCUGAUGUUAAGUGGAAGAAAAUGGUGAAGGUCUACUUAAAGCAGGGGAAGCUGAAGAAUUGGUUGGCUGUGUGUGAUGUCGACAACUCCUUGUCGGCGGGUUUGGCUUUGGGGCUUUUGUUGCCUCAAUUGAGUGACGAGCUAUGAAGCAUGGAUACGGAUACGGAUACGGCGAUACGAUACGACACGACACGGCGAUACGGAAAAUCUCUAAAAAUUAAGAUACGAUACGCUAUGGAUACGGCAAAUAAAAAUCUAUAUAGCAACAAAAAUAUACAUUUUAAAACAUAAUUCAUCAUUCAAAUUCAAGUACAUUUUGAGUUGUUAGAGAAGGAAAGUUCAAAAUCUAAUCCUCUUUAUACAGUAGAAGAAGUGUGAGAAUCGUAUUCAUGGUUUUAAUUAGAGGGAAGCUCUUUGUAUUUAGCAACUUUCAAUUAUAGAUGUCUCCUAUUAAUUUUCUCCUCCUCAUUACCUUUUUUUGAAAGUGUAAAUGUAUUUUAAAAGCAGGAUACGUGUAUCCUGAAUGUAGGAUACGCAUAUCCAUUAUGUCAAAUUCGUGUCCAUCAACCAGGAUACGUGUCGGACGAGUAUCCGAGAGUAUCGGGCAAGUAUCGUAUCCGAUCAAGUAUCGGAUACGGGAUACGGGACCAAACAGAAGUAUCCGUGCAUCAUAGGUGACGAGCCAGUAAAAAGAUACUUACAAGCUUUUCAUUUAAUUUCUUCAAAGCAUCAAAGUCGAUUUUUGAACUCAGCCUCUGCAAGAAAAAAGAAUGCCAUGUAAAUAAUUGUUGGAUAAGAUAUAAGUUGCAUCAUGCUGGAGGAAUAAUACUUAAACGAAGUAUAUCCAUCAGCUAAUUCCCUUACCUCCUUGUUAUUUAUCACAGUAGAAACUUUGGCGGUUUUUUCUGCAGGUGGAGCUUUCUUGGCUUUUCUGGCUCGUUUUCUGCUCUUUCUCUGCCAAAAUUAUCCAUUGUAUGUAGAAAAUUAGAAAUCGAUAAGUAAGGCUCAAUGCUGGCAGUAAAACAAAGACAGAUAAACAAAAGGGAAAAACUAAAUAAUAAAUCAAAUGCAGAUAAGAUUAAAAAAUAUUAAAAAUGGAUACUUUAGAUGCGGUCCUUAAUCUUUAACAUUCUUUGACUAAAACCUUAAUGGUAUUCAAAGUUUGAUCAAAGUACCUUGACUUUGUACACCUCAUUAUAUUACAAUUAAUAUUUAUAUUUUUAUAGUUUUGACAUUAAUUGUUUGAUAUUUUAUGAGAUUUAUAAUCCUAUAAAUUUAAAAUCCCUCAUUAUAAUACUAUUAUAAACAGUUAUAAUAAAAAAAAUUCAAACAUUUUGAUUGAAUAAAUAGAUAAAACUAUGUAUAAAUAAUAAAUGGCAAAAGAAUGUAUCCAUAGUGUUAAAAAAAUUGGUACAUUUCACAUAUAACAAAGUGGUACAUUAAUAAAGAAGAAUGGGUACAUUAUAAAUAAAUUAGGGUACAUAUAAAAGAUUAAAAAAUUAUGAGUACAAAUGACUUUUUAAAAAAUAUAGGCGCUAAAAUAAAUUAAUACACGGGUACAAAAUAAAACUAAAAAGAAAAUACUACAAAUUUAAAAAAAAUGUUGCAAAUUAAAAGUGGGUACAACCUAAAAAUAUAAAUAUAUAAUACAAAGUUUAGGCAUAAAACAUAAAUAUACCAUAUGUAAUUUUUCUAUCAUUGAUUAAAUAUACAAUGUCACGUGACGGUAUACACAUAGGUACAAACACAAAUAAAAUUUUUAAAAAUAUGGGCACAAAAAGAAACUAAUAUAGGGUACAAAUUAAAAAUGAAAAAAUUUUUGUACAAAUUAAAAAUAGGCACAAACUAAAAAUAAAAAUAUAUGAUAAAAAAUUUAGCCAUAAAUAUAAAUAUACUAAUUGUAACAUUUUUAACACUAAAGGAAUAUAUUUAAAAAUAAAAAUAUUUUAUUAUUCAAAUAAUUAAUAAUGUUAUUAAUACCCAAUGACCUUGAUCAAAAAUUGAAAAUGAAUAAGAUUUUAAUCAAUAGAGUAACAAAAAGAAGGAUGUGAACCUAAUUUCUCCUAUUAAAAAUGUUAACCAUCACCCAAAUACUAAUUUGUAAGCAGGUGUGACACCAAUAACAGUUGAGAAUUUAGGCACAAAAUGGUGAAUAAGCUGAAUGAAUCUUCCAAGCAUACACUUUAGAGAACAAUGCACGCAUGACAGUUUGGAAACAUGCAAGGAUAAACUCAAAUAAAGUAAAUAUUGGGAUGAACCACGAGAAAUUUUUCUAAGUACCUGUCACACAAGCUGACUAGGAGUCCCUUACUAAUAAGCAACUGACACCUAUCCUUCUACUUCUCAAGUGACACUAAAAUACCCAUUUUACCCUUAUAUACAUUUCACAAAAUAAUUAAAUAAUUAAAAAAAAUUGAAGUUGUGGGGUGAGCUCCAACGCUUUCCUGCAAAUCGAAAGUACCCAUUUUUCCAUCGCCCAUCCCCAUAUCCCAUCCCUUUAUCCCUCCACGGCUUCACCAGUCCACCCAUCCUGCCCUUCCGCAUCACCUCUCUCCCUAUCUCUUUCUUUCUCUCUCUCUUCCCCUUUGUAUUUCUUCUAUUUCCUGCUCCAGAAUAAGAACAAAAAAAAUGUCGGCGAACUCCGGCUGAUAGAUCGAGAUUGGCGACAACAGAUCUGAGUUGGAGUCGCCGCCGACAAUCUCUGGGUUCCAUGUAGAGUUAAGAGCGGAAGAGAGAAGGGAAAGGAAAGAAAGAGAAGGUCGAACAGAGAGAAGGAUGAUGAUGCCAGAAAAAUCACCGACCGGUGAUGGAGGUGGGUGCGAGUGGUUCGGCGUCGUCAUGCUCGGGGGCCCCUGAUGUCAUUUUGACUUUAUUUUAAAAUAAUUGUCAAUUUUUAAAUAUAAAAGAAUAAAAUAUACAGAUGUCAAAUGCUUAUUAGUAGAAUUCCAGGUCAGCAUAUGUGACAGGUACCUGGAAAAAUUUCUCAUAAACCACAUAGCUAAGCUAGCCAUACUGAAGGGUAAGGCUAUUCCGUGAUACAAUGAAUAAAUUCAAGGUUUUGGUUAGAAGGUCCUACUUUGAAAGGAAUGAUUUUACUGCAACGAAAUGCAUAAAAAGUGCAAGCAAGACACCAGUUCCAAGAAAUGUGCUCUAUCAUAACUGAAAUUGCCUAUUUAAUGGGGCUUAAGGAUUCAAAAUUUGUUGUUUUACGUGCUUAGGAUCUUAAAAGAAGUAUUCUUCGUAGAUUAGCCAUAGUUUUAAAGAUUAGGACUAAAAACAAGUUAAAUGUCUGGAAGACAAAGGGAUUGUUGCAAAUUUCAGUUAGCAGCAUGCUUUUUGAAUUUGGGGGCUAAAAGUUUGAGAAACCAGAAAGAAAAAAAAAGGUCAAAGAUUAGGGCUUUUGAAUCAAGCACGAAAAGAGGGAGAGCACAAAAGUUCUAGAAAGAGAGAAUUGAGUUAAGAACUUCCAAAAAAUCAUUGAGCUAAAGAGUAAAGGAAGAAUGAAGAGGCAAAGAGUGGAAGGAAGAAAACCAGAAACCCAUACAAGGAAAAUGUAUACCAGUACGGUCAUGAUCAAGUGCAAAAUCCCCUCAAUCGUUCACUCUGAACAGUCAUGGCCAUAGAAAAAAAAAGACGAAAAAUAAGAACAAAACCAUCGAAUAAACAGAAACUACGAAAUUGCCUAACAUUGCACCAAAUCCUUGUGAAAACAAAUGUCAAAAUAUAAACUUGCAAAGGCAUUACCUGAUCGUAGUUCUUGUUAAGUACUUCCCAAAUUAAUCUUUUAAACCGUGCCGCCUCCUUGCUGUUAAGGUAUCCAGCAACCUAAAAAAUAGAAGCAUGAGUUCUUCCAUAUCGAAAUUCACAAACGAAAAAUAGAAGCAACAAUCACAUACGAAUCCAAAUCACUAUACGGCCUACCGAGUAGGCUAUGAUGGAAGUGUUCUCUGAUGGAGAGGUGGGUGUAUCCUUCAGGAUCUCUGCUUUUAUCUUUCAUUAAAUCCCCCCCCCCCUAAUUAUCAGACACGGAAAAUGUGGUCGACUGUCAUGAACCAAGAACGGAACUUUUCACAAUAACUAUGACAUAAAAGUCCAACAACGUAGCAUGCAAAAUUAAUUCUUAUUAUCAUCGAAUAUUUUGGGCACCAACCUUAAAUUUAUCAACUUAUGGAGAAUGGGCGGGCAGACACCAUUCCACGAAAACAAUUCAGAAAAUUGAAAAAAAAAUAAUAAGAAAGCAAUGCCUGCUUUAUCUGCAUACCUCGGAGUCGUCGAUAUCUGAGAGGCUUUCUGAGACAUCGCCAUCCGCAGUUGACAUUGCAGCUUCCCUCCUUCUUUUGUAAACUCUCGGAUCUUUUGAAUUUUAUGUAAUUUUAGGUCUUGGGUUUUCCAGUUUUCAUGGAACUAGAAUUUAUAUAGACAGUAAUGUCGGCGACCAAACAAGAACCGACCUAGUUCGGUUUCCCUUUUAGAACUGGAAUGGUGGAACCCAACCAUGCUGUUCUCAAAUCAAAUCAAAUCAAAUCAAGUUUUGGUUCUUAUUUUUUGAGUGGUGUAUGUUAGAUGUUAGAUUUGGAUCUAGUUUCUUUUUUUUACUGUUUAUUUUAAUGAAAAAAAAGGUAAUCACAGAAUAACAGUCCAAAAUCUACAGUGCUAGGCCCAAAAUAGUAUGGAAAAUAAACCAGGAAACUAGAAAAGCUCAGCUCAAUCUGAAAACCAUGUGGAUUUUUUUGGUAAACAAACCAUGUGGUAAACACAAACGGCAUGCAUUACAUUUACAUUGUAGAAACACAUUAUUAUUCCUAUUGUUGGAACCAAAUUCGAGCACAACCGUUGAUAUACGAAUAAUCAUUGGAAUCUCUUGAAUACCGAUAAAUAAGAGAAUUGUUUGAGGGAUAUAACCAAAUUCGAAAAUGAUUGCCUACAUAUUUCCUCGUCAAAGAGGGAGAAUCAAAUCGUGUAUAGUCCAUGCAUGAGUUGCAUGAGCAUGUAGAGAUGUAUUUGAGCAUUUAUGCUUUAGAUGAGAUAACAGAUAUGCGUUAUAUCUCUUUGGAUGGAAUCCUAGUAGCUUCGAUAUUUAGAGAUGAGAUCCUUCAACUCUUUGUCUUGCUUUGCAUGAAUGCUUAUGCACAUGUAAAGCAACAUAUCAAAGCCAAUAUUCUCAUGCUAUAAUCAUGCAAAUGUAAGGUGUAAAACAAUAAUUCAUUUAGCAAUCCAAACACACAAAGCGUCAUUCACGUCAAAUAAAAUGAUAAGAGUAAGAAUUAAAGUUAAGUAGGUAAAAGAUUAUCUUACCAUCAUAUUGUUCUCCUUAAAAUUUCAUUAUUUCAAUUUUAGCUCUUUCGUAUAUUUCUCCUUCCAUGUUCUUUAUUUUUAGUGUGGAUCAGAUUCAAAACCCUUUUACCCACACCUACUCACAUUUUUUUCCCCAUUAACCGACUCCCUCUCACCUUUCUUUUCAACUCUCUCCCAACCUUCCAAAACCUCUUUAUGUUCCUUCUUUUAUUCCAGUUCUUUCCCUUCCGGUAGGCUAUUCUCAUUAGGGAUGGGCAACGGUUAUUUACUCAUAACCGUUUAUACUUAUACCCGCAUAACCGUUUACCCGUUGGGUAAUUACCUAAACGAUUAUACCCAUACCCAUAACCGUUUAUAAACGGUUAAUCGUACCCAUAACCAUAUACCCAUUUAACCGUAAUCAUUUAAUACCCGUUUACCCAUUUAUCAUUUUUAACCCGUUUAUCUUUUUUUUUUUUGGUCUUUUGAUAUGAGUCCAAUUUUAUAAGCCUAUUUUGAAUGGAAUCCACUUGUAUUACAUAAGCAUAAGUGGGGGCUAGUAAGUACAACAAUAAUCCAUGUCAGCAAUUAAAAUGCACAUAAUUUACCAACAAAAUUACAACAACUGCCAUUAGAUGGUUUAUUAGGUGUCUUGCAGGUUAAACUCAUUGUUUAUUCAAAAGAUCCCAUUUAUUAGUACUCUUGCAGAUCAAACGUCCCCUUUAUCCUUAUCCUCCUAUCUUUCAAAUUUGUUUGCGUCCGUAUCCAGCGGAAACCGGGUUUUGAAUCCUAAAUCCGUAUGAAGCUAUGAAAGCUAUAAAUUUUCUCCCAGUAUAUGAUGGAAACAAAAUAGGCGAUUAUCUGGUUCGGGUUUCCUAUUAUACCUGGAGAACAGGUAGUGUAUCUUCUCGGAAGAUUUCAGCUUCGUACAUCGUAAUCUGGUUUUUUUUUUCGAAUAUUUUGAUUUGGUGAUUUGGGCUUUGUUUUUUGCAGUGUUCGUUACCUGGAUAACAGGUAUUACACUCCAUCGAUUUCAAUAUCAGUAUUUGAUAACAGGUGCUACCGUAUCUUUGCUCUAAAUUUCUUUUCUUUUCUUUUUUCACUUCAAUUGUUCGAGAUUUUAGAGUUUGACGACGAGUAUGAAUUGGUGGCCAGUGUUUACGACGCAUUAGUGAAGGCUUGCACUAGUUUGAAAUCGAUUAGGGGGGUUAAGAGGGUUUAUAAUUACAUAUUAGUAAUGGGUUUGAGUUGGAUCAGAAUACAAAAAACAGGGUGCUGCUUAUGCAUGUGAAAUGUGGGAUGAUGAUUGGUUGAAUUUGUUUCUCUAGUAUUUUGGUAUGCUGCUUUGACUUUUUACUUUUGUGGUGUUUGAUACCUAGAUUACAGGUACUAUAGUUCAUACCCUUUUUUUUUUUUGUUAAACAGUUAUGACUGUGGAGCUACUGUGAUGUAUAUUGCACAAAAAAAAGCUGAUGGAGAAUUAGUCGAAGGUGUCUCUUCGGCAGAGGCAAUGAAGAAUAUGAGAGCACAUGUCCUUUGUAGAUUCAUAAAUGAGGGAGAUGGUAGCUGGGAAAAGGAAGAGUAGGAUAAAGAUGUUAUGCGAAAUUUGAGUUUUUGUUUCAUAUAAGUGUUUCAAUUUAAUAAAUGAUGGGACUCCAAUCCAUCCGAAUUCAUUUUCUGCUAUAUAAGUUUGGAUGUUAUGUGAACUGAGAUAUGCUUUGUCAUAUCUGUUUUUUAAUUUCAAUUUCCAGUGAAAGGGGAUAUUCUUCAUAUUUUCCUUUAUUGAUUUCACAAUAAGAUUUGUUUGUAAUCUCAGAUAAUGUUAUUUUGUCAUUAUCUGGACAUACUUCGUCUGGUGUCAUUUCAAAUUGUACAAGGAUAGGUACUUUCAAAGUGUUGAUAAAACAUGGUUGUCAGUAAUUUUCCUACAUGUUAGGUAGUUUAAAACCGUUUGAAAAAGUAAUGUACCUGUACAACUAAUUGUGUCUUGAAAAAUAAUAUUCUACAAGGAUAGGUAGUUUAAAACCGUUUGAAAAAGUAAUGUACCUGUACAACUAAUUGUUAUCAAGAAAUCAGGAAGAAAGAUGAACUGAAUAAUGAAUUUGAAUUCUGAUAAAAAUUUAAAACGUGGGAAAUAUAUGGAGAACGUGCAAAAGUCAUAGGAGGGUAAAAUAGUAAUAAUAAUGCAAAAAAAUCAACUUAAUCAGAAAAAUUGCUGACAUGGAAUCCUAGUCAUUGGAGCUAAGUCAAAAGUAACUAAAAAUUGGACUAAUUCUAAUGUUGGGCUAUAAAAUUGGACUGAUUUCAAGUUUCCCCUUUUUUUUUACUAUUACUCCUUUUUCAUCCAUCUACAUAUUUUUUAACAACUUGAAAAUUAAAAAAAAAUUGUCAUAAUUUUUUUUUUUUGACAAUUAAACACCGUUAUAGGUACAUUCAUCAUACAUUUCCAUAUUUUAAUUUUUUAAGUCCUUAUACCAUUCCAAUAAUUAAAAUAAUAGUUUAUGGACGAUAUUUUUAACUGUUACCAAGGAAGGUAAAUAUAAUAUUUGCUAAGUAUUAUUGGGUUACAAAAAUUGGUUAGAAGAUAUUUAUGUCAAAGUAUUUCUGUCAAUUUCACGGUUACCCGCAAGGAAUUUAAAUUAAUUUGGCAAAUUCCUUGAUGAUGAGAAUCAUCAUUCCUGUAGCAGUGCUAUUGAGAGAAUGACCGAUGAAUUCCUUACUAAUUUAUUGGGUGCUAAGUAUUAUUAGAUCUAAAACAUGGUUUGUGUUAGUUUUACAUAUAUAAAAUAAAUGGGUAAACGGUUAUCCGUUUAUAACCGCGGUUAAUACCCAUAACCGCCCAUUUAAAUUUCGCGGGCCAUAACCGUUUAUUUAUCUAAACGGUUACCUAUAACCAUAACCGUUUAAUUUAAAUGGACGGGUAACCGCGAUUACCCAUAAUCAAUGGGUAUUUGCCCAUAUGUAAUUCUCACACCUUCACUUCCCACAAACACCCCCUUCUUUCUCUUAUCACAGAAUCACAGAUGACAAAUUACAAAACAACACUCUUCUCUCUCUCUCUCUCUCUCUCUCUCAGUUGUUUUCAUUUUUAUUCACUUGUUGCUCACACUCUUUUCUUUUCUUUUCCUUGCCUCUCACAACUCCCUCGACACCUCUCUCUCUUUCCUUCUUUUAUGCUUUUCUUCAACCCCUUAUCUUCUAUAAUAUAGCUGAAAAUUUGCAUUUGUAACAGGAGUAGAAUUGGUUAGCAACAUAAAAUGGAGAUGUAGGCCAAAGAGGCUGGCUGAGAAGGCCAGCUCAACCGUAUAUAAGCUGCUCAAACUGAUGUAUAGGCCAACAUACAGAUUAGGUUGUCGAGAUGUUUGGAUAUUUUAUAGAAGAGAUGAUAAGGAACAAUUUUUGUGAAAGAAGUGUUUUUGUUUGAUCACAGUAAAUUGGAUUUUUAAGCUCCAAACAUGACUCUAAGGUUUUCUGCAGAUUUUCAAGGCUGUCAUGGUAUUUUGAUAAUCUGGAAUGAAUGGACAGUUAGAUCUUUCUGAGACUUUGAUAUGUUAAGAUAGAGAGAAUAAGGAACAAUUUCUAUGAAGAAAGUAUUUUUGAUAUGAGCAAGAGAAAAUGUAGUUUCGAAGCUCACAACAGGCCUGACUGGUUGAUUGAUGAGUGCUGAGCAGUCACUGAUUAUACCUGAGUUUCUGCAGUUAUACAGCUCCUAUGGAUCUCAUAUUUGGAUAUGUUGUAUAUAACGAGUUAACAAACAACUUUCUUGAAGACGGCUUUUUGAUUUGAACUAUAGAAAAUGGUAAUUUGAUCUGCAAAACAGAUAUGACGAAUUUCUGGUUCUUGAAAUUCUUUCUCUUGAUAACUAGAAGAAGAGAGAUUUGUUGGUUAAGCUCUUAUGCAUUUUCUGGGAUUUGUAUGUGAUUUCUUUCUCAGGAUUCUCGUUGAAAAAUAGAGGGAUAUUUGGUGGUGCUUCACGGAGUUGGAUAAUGGUGUUUCACUAGAACUUGAUAACACAUUCACAUAAACACACAGUAUUGGAGUGGUUCGGCAAAGUGACUACAUACAUUGGGGUUUGCUUUCAUUUGUAUUUCACUAUAUAUGAGAGACUUACAAAUACAAUGAAAGAUGACUUAAAGCGUUUACAUAAGGUAAAAGAAAUGGAUGAUGAAAUAGGAAUGGUCUGAGAAAGAGAACAUUCUUUUUGCUAGUGUGUUCUUGCUGGUGUGGUGUUCUCCCUUUUUUUCCUCAUGUCCUUCUUCUAGUUCUUGCCCCUUCCUUUAUAGGGAUCAUAUGAGAUCUUCCUUCUCACAACAUGUACAAUCUAACUUGAGGAUAAAAGCUCCCUAGUGUCCCAAUAGAAAGACACCAAGUAUUGUGCACAUUAUUAGCCAUAAUAUGUGUUCGAAUAGCAAGACAAUUGUGUUAAACUAAUCAUUAAUAAUGAUAUGUGUUCCAAUAACAAAACAACAUGUGUUGAGCUAAUCAUGAACAAAAAAAUAUCAUGUAAGAUGGAUGCAUGUCUAAGGCCACUUACGUUAAAGUUUAUCUUAUGGUAAACUUGUUGUAACAAAACAUAUGGUAACUCUACAAAUUGGUAGGAUAUCCAGAUGAAUCGAUGAUGGUGAAUUAAAAGCUCCAAAACCCAUUGUUAUAAUCACACCUCAAACUAAAACCAAAAGAGUAGCAAAGUAUUUAGUUGCUAGUGGGACGCAAAUGAGAAAUACAAAGCCUAACAAAUCAAUCUACAAAUAAAGUGAAACAUAUAUGUAUUUGUUAACUAUUGAAAAAAAAGAACUUGGUAAAUCAAACUUUAGCGCAAAACACAAAUUAAAAGUACUUUGACACUUAUAUAUAUAUAUAUAUAUAUAUAUAUAUCCACUUUUUAAAAUACAGAGUAUUACACUUGUUUAAGUCCUUUCACGAUCUAGCUUAACAUACACGACAUUGUUCUCCUUUUAACUCCAAACAUGAACUUUCCCUUCCUAAAAACUUAGGCUUCAAAUCAUUUCAAUUGUUGCCUAAUUUUUUAGGGAGGAAAACUCAUAUUUGGAUCCAAAAGUAGAAAAUGUUAUGGAUGUUAGACCUGAAUCGUGAAAAGAUCGUAACUCUAUAACAAAUAUACUUUUGAUUUUGAAUUUGUUUUUGUAUUGCAUAUGGUUCAAUAUUAUUAAGUUUCCACCCAGGUGUCCCAGCUUCGGAAUUCUCCCCUUAUAAGUUAUUUAAAAAAAGGUAACAAAUUGAAAUUUGAAUAAAAGUUAAGGUGACAAAUAAAAAAUUUGCCUUUUCUUCUCUAUUCUGCAACUAGACCAUCAACAUCAAGGCUCAAUUUAUAGGAUUUGGAUCCUCUUUUGAGCAAAGGAGACGGAGCCUCCUAACCCAAAUACACAGACCGUUAGAUUUUGAUCAAACGACUACAAUUAUUUUAACUUUUAGAAAGGCCUCCUAUUUGUAACCGUUUGAUCAAAAUUCAACAGUCCGUGUCUUUAGGUCAUGAGGAUUCGUCUCCCUUACUCAGGAGAGGAUCCAAAUCCCAAUUUAUAGACCCAAAAAGGCCUUAUUAAAUUAUUUGAAUUCCCUGAACACAUUCUUAAAUUUUAGUGGUGGGAUCUUCAUCCAGUGGUGGUGGUUCAUGAACAUAUCUAUUAACCUUUUGUAUGAAUAAGUAGAAUAUACAUCCAUCUGCUAAGAUAUAUUCAAAUCUGGCAUGCCAGUCCCCUGCCCACUACCAAAAGCCAGAGCUAAAGUAUAAUUAUAAUUAAUUAUUAAAAUGUGUUAUAUAAAAGGAAAGGGUCCAAAACAAGUACAAGGGUGCACAAAGGGAUAAAAGGAGCAUGCAGAAAUCAUUUCCUAAUAUUUAUCACCUUCCUUUUCCUCUAAUGCCAGCGAGCAGUGAUUGAGUGACGUUUACAGGAGAAGAUGCAGGGUCAAUCCAGGAAGUGUUAGCACCACUUGCAUUGCUGCCUCCUGGCUGAUAGUUGAGGCGAACAUUACUAUCCCUGGAUGCAGUUGAUGGGGUAUCAUCCUCCACCAAAAAUCUACCUGUUGGCAAUGUUGUUACAUCUUUAAAAUCAUAAUCUGUCAAAUAGCUUGGCUUCAACAUGAUAGUGCCUAUGUCAAUGUCUCCAGAGAGCAUUGCAACCACGCGUGACAUAGAUGGCCUUGCCAUCGGUGAUCCCUGCGUGCACAGGAGAGCUGCUCUUAUCAAUCUAGUUGCUUCAGUUUCAUCAAACUCUGUCAAUCUUGGAUCCACCAGCCCCAGAGUUUGGUCAUUUUCAUGUAGAGUCCAUACCUGAAAAACAUUAUGCCACGGUCAAAGGAAAGUAUUAAGUUUUUCACAACACUUCCAAAAUGAAGCUAGGGGGAUGCAAUUCCUACCCAUUCAAGAAGAUAAAUCUUUUUUGGAUCCAAGUUAUUGUAAGAGUUUGGUCUCCCGCUAAGGAUCUCCAAAACAACGACUCCAAAACCAACACAUCGGCCUUCUCUGUCAAAUGUCCAAACAAUGCAUACUCCGGUGCCAAAUAGCCUCUGCAAUGCAAGAUAAUAAAAUGGUUGCACAAUGUUGCUUGAGAUCAUUAGAGGCAUUAUUAACAUGUGUUCAAAUUUCAUGCAAGUAUAAAUGUGUGUGGCCAUAAUAUAUGUAUCCUCUAGAAAAACAAUAAAGGAUGGCUAACAUUGUCCCUGCAACCCGGGUGCUGAUGUGGGUUUUCUCGUCAUCAUAAAGCUUUGCCAGUCCAAAAUCUGAUAUUUUUUGGGAGAGUUCUGCAUCGAGCAAAAUAUUACUCGCUUUGACAUCGCGAUGUACAAUCCUUGGCCUUGACUCCUCAUGAAGGUAAGCAAGUCCUCUUGCUGUUCCCAACAAUAUAUUGAAUCGAGUCGGCCAGUCAAGGUGCAAGUUACUUGUUCCUGAAAUAUUAGUGAACACAUCCAAUCAAAAACAUUUCUUAACAAUUUUAGAGUGCUUGAAACUGCAGACAAUGUUGUUUCUAUGCAACCUAAAAGUAGAUAGGUUUGUACCAAAAAGUGCUUGAUCAAGGCUCUUGUUUUCAAGAUACUCAUAAACCAAAAUGCGUUGGCUGCCUUCAAUGCAGCAUCCAUACAAUUUCACUAGAUUCCGAUGUUGCACAGCAGAUAUGGUAGAAAUUUCUGAUACAAAUUGACUCUUCCCUUGGUGAGAUGCUACUGAAAGUUGCUUCACAGCCACUACUCUCCCAUCAGAAAGUGUACCCUAUAAUGUACACAGAAACACAAUUUAGUGACAUGAAAGGAAAGAAAAAAGAAGCUUUAUUUUCUUCUCUCGCUCGCUUUCCCUUUCUCGUCAUUACUUCAAGUACAUGAUACUGAUGUAAUACGGAUUUCACCUUGUAAACAGGGCCAUAUCCUCCUUCUCCUAACUUAUUUGAAGGAUUAAAAUCUUCGGUUGCAACUCUCAACUCAGAAUAACUAAAAGUAUUUGGUCGAGGGCCUAAUCCUAGAAUAUCUGCACAUUCACGAAACAGUGUGACAUAAGUUUUACUUUUGUAAAAGCAUUCCUACUUCUGUGUGUUAAUGUCAAAGCAGAGAAACCUGAAUUGGAUACCACUAAUAAUAUGGUCGUUUACCUUCGUCAUCCUCUUUUUCUGAUUUUUUCCUCCUCAUAUAUAGAAUCGCAAAUAUUAAUAGCAAGCUCACAACUCCAACAGGAACUGCAAUACCAACUAUCAACCCAGUCCUGCUCUUCUUUCCUGGGGUAGUUGGUGGAAGCCCGGAAACUGUUGGUGUAAAAUCUGAGUGAUAAAACAGACGAAUUCUUCAGUGUCGAUUAACAGUAGAAAAAUAUAUUUAAACCAUUCACAAGAAAUCUCUACUAGUUAACACAAAUUAUACCUGAAGCAGCAUGGACAGCUGCUAUUAGUGAGCCGUAAUCACCUUGAUUGGGUAUGCAACAAGUCCCUUUACCAGCCCAGAACAGAUGAAUUUCAAGAUAAUUCUCUGACACGCUAACAUUGAAUCUUUUCAUAAUUCCUAGGUUAACCCCACCUGCCUCCUUGGAUAUGUCAAAGUCCUGCAUCCUGCAGAUACCCUAGCAACCAAAUGAAGAGCUAGGUCAUAAUUCUAGUCUCCUUUAAAUCAUGGAAGACUUUGGAUGCAGUCCAUAACUACCAAUGUUUUUUGACUGAAACCUUGAUAGUUUUUUGUUUUUUAUUAAAGUAGCUUAAACUAUCGAAAACCUGUCCAAUGAGUCUUUACUUCAAAUAAGAUAGAUUUUUUUUUUCCAUAAGCAGCCAUACCUGAAUAUAGAUGUCAAAUACACGCCGUCCUAGACUUUCCCAAGUUUGCUGAAUGCGCCUAUCAAAAACCGUCUCUGCAAAGUGCAAUGUUACAGUGUAAGGUCCAUUCUCAAGACCCAGGCCAUAGUAUCUCAGUGAUCCUGGGGACAAUCUUGAAGUCUGGAAAAGCUCUGGGGUCACAUCUGUUCCGGUGACUUGUGCAAGGGUAUUUUCCAGAAACGAUCGGUUCACUCCGUCAGAAAACAUACCGACAUUGCUGACAGCCCAUUUCUCUGUACUGGUUACAUUGAAUGUUGCUGGACCAAGAGCUGAGUCUUCGGCCUCAUACGAUAUGCCAUCACGUCCCUUCAUUUCCGGUCCACCACAGUUGAUUGAGAAGUUUGCAUCUGUAAGUUUCAUGUAAUACCAGAAUCUACCCAUGAUUAGCGAUGAAACUUCAAAUUGAAGACUCGUACUAAUGUUUUUCAGUCACAUAUUUGUGACCAGAGAAGCAAUCUAUAUCCAUAUGUAUACAUAACCAGAGAAGCAAUGCCUUCUCCUCUAACAUGACGUUGCGUUAAAACAGUAAAUGUUGGGUGACAUAAAAGCAGAUUACAUCGUGGGGCAUUUCGAUUGCAUGGAAAUUUUUUCUGGAGGCAAUUCAAUCCAGGAAGAGUAAUGCAAACACAGAGAACAAUUAUUAGUUAUCCAGAUAGAAACAUAUAGUGGAAGAGUAGUGAUAGUAUUGCUUGUCUAAAAACCGGCAACAGAAACUUCAACUCACGUUAUGUUUUUUUUGUCAAAUGUGAAGUUGUUGACCACUAAGUUCCUGCAUAAAAUCAUUAAUCAAUCAACAUGUGAAGAAAUAUAUCUCUGUCAAAUGAAAAUUCCAUGUACUCUCAAAACUUAAUAGGCAAGUAGCACUGUGAGAACGAAUCGCAGUGAUAUUUUUUGUCCCAACAUAUUCUGGGGAUUUAAACUGUAAAAUGAAGGUGAAAGAUAAAAGGUGAUGUACAGUUGCGAUAUUGUGGUCACCCACUGGGGAAAGCUACCUGAUAAAAAAUUGUAAGACAAAUCUCUGCAAAUAACAAAAUAGAAUCAUAAGACACAAAAUACAUGAAAGUUAUAAGAACUUGUGUAAGAUAAAGGAUUAGAAUGCUUAAAAAAUGCACAAACACAUACAUGCACGUGCAGACGCACGUACAAAGUACUGGUUUCAGUGUCAAUAGACUCAGUACAUUCUAUAUGACUACUUUUAAUACAUGAGGACUUACAUAGUUUGAAGUCGAUUGCUCUUUUGGCUCGGAAGAGGUCCGGACAGACUAUUGUUUCCAAGAAACCUGGCCAUUUCGAUUAUAGUAGAAGGCACCCAGAAAAGAAAAAGAGAUGAGCAAGAAAAAAGUCAGAUGUGCACAAAAUCUAGAAGGAUUAGUCCAGAUCUUCAAUCAAAGUAGGGAAUGUUAAAGAUUUGAUAACUUAUGUAGGCAAGCAAAAUAUAAUACUAAGGAUGGGGAUUACAAGGAUGUAAGAGAACUCAAGGUGAACAAAGAACUUGGGAGUUGGCCUAUCAAAUUGUUGAAACUCAGAUCCCUGCAACACCAACGAUAAGUUGAGAGGAGCAAUCAGAAUGAAAGAAAACUAAUUGGCCUCGUUGGGACUCAAGCUUAUAUGCGCUGGUACGUACAGUAUCUGUAGACUUUGAUAUUCUCCAAUAUCAGAUGGGAUGGUACCAGUGAUUAAUGCAUUUCGUAGUUUUCUGUUAUUCACAUCAAAUUUGAUAAAAAGUAGAUGGAGUAAGAUAUCAAAAGGAAAAAGGAAAAAGUUGGAUGAAAGUAUAUGGAUUAUGGAUCGACAAGAAUCUUCACUUACAAUUCAGUCAAGUUCUUCAUUUUUUUAAUGAAAUCAAGAGAGGAGCUCCCAUCGUAUAUAUCACUGAUAUGCCUACAUCAUUAUAUGCAAAAUAACUGAAAUCCCGUCUUCGGAGAAAGAGAAAGAAUUACAAUUUAUGAAGCAUUUGUACUUACAGAGAGUUCAAUGAGGUCAGCUGAGAAAAGCUGGUUGGUAUUGGGCCUUCCAAAGAGUUCCCUUGAAAUCACCUACGGAAACAUAUAAGAAGCUUGUGAACAAAUUAUCCAUCUCAGGUCUGCUUUCAUAAACUGCAUAAGAUCAAAAUUUUAUGUGGCUUACAAAGAAGUGAGUUGUGUCCAAUUCCCUAUGAAAUCAGGUAUCUUUCCUGAGAAAAGACUGUCCGUUGCCCAACUAAAAUUCAAAAAGUUGACUUAUAAUAAGCUCAUCCAAGAAAAGCAAUCUCAUAGUACUAGAUAAACGAACAAAUCUAAAAUACGAUUUAAGAGCCGUUCUUACAAGAUUUGCAUACUGGUGAGCUUGGCAAAUGUUGAAGGAAUUUCACCACUGAGUCCACAGCUGUCCAUGUAACUGUGAAAAUCUUAAGGCAACUGAUUAAUACCCAAUUUAUACAAUAAGGUGCAAUUUUUGCUUAUGCAUAAGGAACUAACAUGUAAUUCAAAUUUGAUGAUUUAACGAACCACUUACAUUUGCUGGAGCUUGACUAAAUUACCAAGUUCUGGAGGGAGUGUUCCGGAGAAAUUAUUUGAUCCGAUGGCCCUGCAAGUCAUGUUGAACAGGCAAACAAUUACUUGAAAGCAAUUAUUGAAGAGUGAUAGAAGGUUCUGUAUGUAAUGUUUAUGACACAAAAUUUUACUGUAGGCUUUCUCAUUUUUCAUGGCUUACAGCAUAUUUAGCUCCGUAAGGUUUCCAAGCUCCUUGGGGAUGGGCCCAGAGAAUGAAUUGUGGCCAAUUGACCUGAAUGGAGAUAUCAGUUAACUAAAGAUAAGCACCAUUACAUUACAAGAAACUAGGACUGCAUUAUUCAAUAAAAACAUAAUGGUUUUGUGUAGAUUACGGGGUACAUAAUAGAGAAAAUAUAUAAAGAACAUAACUGUAGAUUAUGAUAUUCAAAAUGAAGUAUACAAAUUGCGACGAGUCUCAUCAGAAGUAUGAGUACUUAAACAAAUUUUCUCUCACUACUUACAAUAUAAUCAAUGCAGACAUAUUGCCAAUGAAUCCCGGUAGGGGACCUUUGAAAUAAUUCAUAUCAAUUUUCCUACAAAAAUUGAAACGAAAUGUAAUCAUUAACCCUUAAUCUUACGACAUCACUAUAUUUUUAAUUUCCAAUUGAUAAUUUUGAUGAACCAAAAACAGAGAAGGGAAUUGGAAAAAAUUCAUACAAAACUGCGAGAUAUCUUAGAUCCAAAAAUUCUUCUGGAAACACCCCUCGUUUGUACAGAGCAUGCACUCUCCUGGAAAGCAAAAAGAUUGAACAUUUAGAACUUUAUAAAAUGGAGUGGCACAGUCAAAUUAUUGACUAAUAUAUAUAGGUAUAGCUAGCGAAAAAUCAGCAUUGGCAUAGAAAUCUUGUUCAUAAAGAGAGAGUAGUUUAACAUACAGUUUGGUGAUGUGGCAUGUAGUAUCGUUGUCAUAAGUACAGUCGCAAGCGAUGGCUGGGUUGUUAUCGGGGAUCUCAAAUUCGGUGCCGUUGAUGGCAGAUCCACUGCAGGGUUCUCCACUGGUAUUCCACAGUCCCGACACUGCUUGUGUGUCCCAUUGUUCAAAUAUUGAGUUCAACGCCCUCACUGCACACUCAGUUAAUUCAGUCCUUGUGUGUAUUAGAUUAUAUCACACCAUAAUUUGACUUGUGUUACCACUUACCAGACUAUCUCGAAUCAAAUGAGAGAUCAAAUUGAUUAUUACAAAGGAAAAUGUGGCAAAGUGUGUGUGUAGGGGGGGAGAGAGAGAGAGAGAGAGAGAGAGAGAGAGAGAGAACCUUCAGAUGGAUCAGUGGUAGCAUUUUUAGCAAAGGACAGCUGAAACCAGAAGCGGCUGAGGAAGCAGAGUAAUAGUAUCCUCAUCAUCAACUUCAUCUUCAUAUUGUAAAUGUGCAGAACUUGCUCUCCUCGACGGCGUGAAACUAAACGGCCAACCCUUAUAUUCCGACUGGCUGAAUCUUGCAUGUAAAAAGAAGACCAUAAGGCCUCGUUUGGCAGCUCAGACUGUACUGACUAUUUCAGUCGGAUAGGAUAAAUAAUCAUCGGAUAGUACUGAAUAAUUAGUCGGGCAUUUGGUGCUUUCCCGGAUAAAUCUGUACAUCGAAUAAUAUAUCGGAUUACAAUAAAUUUCUAAAAAAAAAAAAUCACCGAAUAACUAAUGUUAAAAUGGAAAAAAGGACCAAAGAAAAAAAUCCUCAUUGCACCGACAAAUUAAAAAACAAAACAUAAAAAAGGAAGGAAAGAAACCCAGGUUUCUCUCAUAGUUGUGUUAUCCUUUCUUCAUCAUCAUCCCCGCACAUCAAAUCUCACUCUCUCUGCCGAACCCAUUUCCUUAUUUCUUAAUCUCCCAAGACCCAAAUGGAUUCUCCGCACCAAAAUCAAUUUGUAAGAAAUAGACAAAUCAGCCAAUUUCAUAAGAGAGGGAAUAGAGAGCAAACAGAGAAAGGGAGCGGAAAAAAGGACGAAGAAGAAUGAAGGAUAACAUAUGAAUUUGAGAGGAAGAAGAAGAACAAGAACAACAUAUGGAGUUCGUUCUGGAUAGAGGAGAGAACGGAGAAGGCACAAAUUUAUUUGAGAGUGAAGAGACAACGCGAUUAAAUUUUCCUGGGCUUUUGAGUUUUGAACCUGUUAAAUUAUCCUUAGCUUUUGGAGUGUAUUAUUUAGCAGGUGUGAGCCGGACUAAAAAGUGGGCCCGGGAUAUAUAAUCGGCCGGCUAAUUAAUUCAAAACUGCACCAAACACCUGUCUCGCACUAUUAAUCCUAUCCGGAGUCUAAUACGGUGUCCCAAACGAGGCCUAAGAUUUUAGUCAUAUAUUGACAACGUGUGCGUAUAUACUUAAAUUUUGUCCAAGUUGUAGAUCAAUGGCGGCCAACACCUUUUUAAAUUUCCCACUUGGAGUUGGCUAAGGCUUUGAUCGUAUUAGUUGAAUUGUAUAUUGUCGUAUUAGACAUUGAGCUGCUUUAGUGUGGAAAUAUUUAUGUACAAUUCUAGAUUGUUAAUACUUUUCUGGUUGAAAAUAUCAAGGGAUUUAUGUACAAUUCUAGAUUGUUAAUACUUUUCUGGUGGAAAAUAUCAAAGGAUUGACUUACGGAUCAACAUUCUGACUCGGUCCACUACUAAUUAUGGAGAGGGAUUUUUAUCCAUAGCGAAAGAACAAAGGAUUAAUUCCCUGUUAGUUGGUGAUUUUGAUAUGACAUCUAACGAGGAUGUCAUCAUGACAAUAUCUUAAACUAAUCACAUUAUUAUGUAUAACAAAAUUGAAUUGUAACUUUGGUCUAAAAUGGGCGACUCUAAGCAAACAAGGAUUCCUGCUUUGGAAGGAUGGGAAAAGAACGUUCAUUAUAAGCAAAAAGACUGUUUUCACGACUCGAACCUGUAACAUUUCGGUCACAAAGAAGCAAAUUUUGCAUUGCACCAAAGCUCGCCCUGAAUUGUAGCUUUAGUCAAUAAUCUAAAAUUUUAUUAUAGCUAUACAUGUAUUCGACAAAAUAUGAAACACUGGUUAUUGACGCUAAUUCUAUGAGAAUUUUUAUUAAAAGGAGCAUACAUGCAAUUCUCUAAUUUACUCUUCUUAAAGGUAUUCCUCGGAAUUUUGGCCAAAAUUCUUAGCGCGAUAGACUAAUGCUUAACAUAUGUCAAACUUAAAUACUAUCUCUAAUAGAUCUUUAAUUUGCAUACUAAAACUACAAUCAAGUCAUAAUUCACAAAUUAGUCUAGUACAUUAAUUUCCUCCUUUUCAAUGUUAGGUAAAAAAAAAUACUGUUCAUAUCAAAGACUCAUACUCAUCCUCGCAAUCGUAUCAAUAAGUUCAUCUCUCUUAGCAUAAAAUAAAAUUGACAGGUUUUAUCAACCAGUUAUACGCAUUGGUUGGGAAAGGCAAGGGAGACACAUAUACUGCCUAAGUGGAAUCCGGAUCCUCACAGAGAUCUAUAAAUCGUGUUUGUUUAGCGUACUUCAUGUGGUCAAAAAUUAUUUUUAAUUUUUUAUUUAAAAUGAAAUACAUACAGCAUUUGACGAAAUUUAAUCAUAUAACGUACGAUAAACAGAUAUAAUUCACAUAUCUUCAAGAACCUCACGAGAAUCCAAAGAAUCAUGUUAGGCCUAAGUGGCCUUUGGUGUAUGACACGUAGGUUGCACAUGCAACGCGAUCAACUUGCGGAUCAACUUGCGGUCAGAGUUGACGAGUCUUCCAAAAUGUUCAAUAAGUUUUUUUUGGUAAAAAAAAAAAGUUCAAUAAGUUUAUUCAUGGAUAAGACAUUAUAUAAGGGAUUAAUCUCAAUUUAUUAUUAUAAAGUUUUAUGAUUUUUAAUAUUUGUUAUAUUAAAUUUUUUUUAUCCUAAAAUCAUACCUACUAAUUUCAUACUUCCGUUAAACUGAUUGUUAAGUCAUGUCAACAAUAUGUUACGCAUCAUUAAAGUCCACGUGAAUGUUAAAAAAAAUUAAAAACUAAAAAAUUAAAAAACUAAGAAAAAAAAAAAUUGAGCGAUGAUGCAGCCUGCUGGUAUCUUUCUUUCUCUUCUCUCCCUCAAAUCUCAUAUACCCAGCAACCCUUGCCCUCGCGACCUCGUAACCGUCGCCCUUCGUCUCGCUGCCACUAGCAAUGGGUGGGCGGAGAUCGAUUCGGCCACCAACGGAGGAAUUGAAAGGGAAAAUAAAGCGUGACCGAUGAUAAGCCUAUCGAUCCGAUUUGCUCCGAAGAAUUAGAAUUCUUUGUCCAUGGAGUUUGCCCAUUUUACUUUUUCCAAAUCCAAUUUCCAUCGUGCGUUUUCCUUUGCCCUUCAAAAAAAUUGCAGAAAUUUGGGAACGAAGGUGAAGGCAGAGAAAUCCCGCUCAUCUCUUCACUCCAAGGCCAAAUCCCACUCAUUAGAUUUUCAUCUCUUCUACCUUAAUCCAAGCCGCGGUGGAGCUGGGCAAAGCCGAAGGCAUGCCAGACUCACCAGUCCAGAUCCCAACCAUUUAUUUUCUGCCUGAACCACCCAGCCAACCCCGAACCACCAGGACCCGCACAUGUUGCUGCUCGACCCGUCGCAAGCUCGCGCCUGCCUGACCACCCGCCAGAACCACAAAAGUUGCACCUCCGUCGCACCCAGAUCGGCAGAAGAACUAAUUGCAGAAGAGUGAAAAAGGGACGGGGGAGAGGAAGCAACUAUCCCCACCUUUUUCUAUUUUUUUUUUUUUUAAUGUUUCUUAAAUUUAUUAAUUUUUUAAGUUUUUUAAAUGGGAAAAUUAGAAUCCCCUACAACUUUUUUAUAUCUUUUAGACUAAACAUUUGUGCCUUUUCAAAAUUUGAUUAAAGUGCUUUGACCAAUAGACACCUCACAAUUUUCUGUUAAAUUAAAUUACAUAUCAUUAUUGUAUUUUCUUAAAAUAAAAUGUUAAUUAUUAAUUUCUAAAUUAUCCUCUUAUGUUUUUAUGCGUUUUUCCCCUUAUUUAGUGGAGUAUUAGUUAUUAACUCUAUUAUCCCUUUUUCCAAUUAUAAUUUUUUGAUCAAAAUAAUUUUUUUGUUCUACAAACAUUAAUAUUAUCUAUUUUUGUCAAAUGGUUGGCGAUCCAACAAAGCACUGUGUAAUUUUUCCCCUUUUUUUUGUCAAACUAUUUUUCUUUGUUUUUUAUUUUUAUUUUUUUUAUUUUUACUUAUAGUUGUUGACAAACUAUUAUUAGGUACAACAUAUUAUGUGUAUACUGCCGUUAGGUACGUUUUAAUUUGUAAAAAACAUUGAUUGGUACGUUUAUUUGCAGUUUUGGUACGUUUGAUUUGGUACAUAUUGUUGAUAUUGGUACAUUACUUUUGAUUUUGGUACGUUUGAUUUCAUACACUUUAUUUAUUGGUACGUUUAUAUUGUUGUUAGUCCUAUUUUCUCUUAAUGUAUUGAUAUAAAAAAUUAUAUUGGUACAUUUGAUUUCGUGAGAUUUAAAAAUAUUUUCAACCCUUUUGGGAAUAAAAUAUUAAAUCGUAGAAAUCAUUGCUAAAUUGUAGGAAGUAUUGUGAAAAUAAAUUGUAUUUAACUAGGGUUUUUUUGUUUACAAUUAUCUCCAAAGGGGGAGAAGGUAAUCAAAAUGCUUGAUUAUAGGAAGUUUGUUCAAUACGCUGUGCACUUUUUUGGCGUGAGAUUAAGAAAUAUGGAGUAGUGGCAGGUCAUGUAAUUUUGGUAUAAAAAAUGAUUAAUUCUAAUAUAUGUGGCAACAAAAUGAUGAGAACAAGAGUUUAAUCAAAUCUCUAAAAGGCAUAGAUGUUUAGUAUAUAAAAUUCAAAAAUAAGGCACCUAUAUCAAAACAUCUCUUUUUAAAUUUUAAUUUUUUUGUAAUUUUCACGUAGAUCUUUAAUGACACUUCGAUCAUUGUUCACAUGAGCAUAACGUUAUCAGUUAACAGAUGACAUAAACAACUUCACGAAUGUAUAAGAUUAUCUGAAAAUUAAGACUUGAUGUAUGACUCUGAAAUAAAAAAAUAUUUAUAUAUCAAAUAUUGAAAAUUACGAAAUUUUAAGUUAAUAAACUGAGAUGAAUCUUUAUAUAAAAUAUGCAAAUAAUUAUUAGAUAUUGGCAAACCACAGCAAUUUUUUUUUUUUUUUAAGCAAGCAAAUGGACUGGGAAAUAUACUGCUUUCGAAUGCAUCUGUUGAUCACAGUUAAGGAUGAACUUUAACAUUUCAAAAGAGAGAGCCAGCUAGCUAGCAGUUGAUCUCCUGUAUUUUAUAGGUGUAUAUCAUAUGGAGAGAGAGAGAGAGAGAGAGAGCCGACCUGCUGUUGAAGCAGAAGGGAGGAGCUGAAGCAGAAGCAAUCAAAAAACUGGAAGGAAGAGAUCAGAGAAUCAGAGAUGGCGGCUGCUUCGCCCACUAGUUCUGAAAUUCAUCCCGUCUCUCUCCUCUCUCUUUUUCCUACUAAGAGCCAAUGAGAAUGAAGAGGAUAAUUCCCACCGUGGCACCGUGGGAGUAGUGUACAUACAUAUGGACCUGGAUUGUUUGCCUUUCUAUCAUUUUCUAUUUUUGUGAUCACGGUUAAGCCACGUUAACAUUUUAUAUUAAUUUUUUUAUAGAAAUAAUAAACCACGUUAAUAUUUUAUAUUAAUUUUUUUUUAUAGAAAUAAUAAGACAAAAAACAAUGAAAAUAUAAAAUGCUAACAUGGCUUAACAGUGAUCACAAAAAUAUGAGAGAAUAAGAAUAGUAUGGAAUGAGGAGGGCAAACAAUCCAGGUCCCAUAUAUAUAUAUAUAUAUAUAUAUAUAUAUAAUGGUAUAAUCAAAGUUCUAAAAAACGUUAGACGCUAGUCAGGUUGUGGGAUGGCGCCUAGCGCCUAAGCGGCUAGGCAAGCGCCUAGACGGUCUAGGCGGAUUUAGGUAAAUUUCUUAUAUUUUAUAUAAAUUAAUUAAACUUACUAUAUCAGGUGUAAAUAAUUAUUGAAUAAUAUAUUAUUUCUUAUAGAAGAACAUACAUAUGUGAAUGUUUUAUGUACAUAUAUAAUAUGCUUGCCUAGGGAAAAAAAUACAAAAUAAUAUCUAAAUUAACAUUUAUAUACAUAUAAUAUAGAUAUACACCCCAAACUUUUAAAAUAUAAAAACCCACACAAGUGGGUGGUUUUCAUGAUAAAACCAUCUGACCCUUUAUAAUAUAUAACUUUUAAAAAUAUCAAAAGCUCACGCAAGUGGGGUGGUUUUCAUGAUUACAACUUGACUUGUAAACGGAUCGGGUUUAUUGAGUUUGGAUCGGAUUUAACCCGACUCAUUAAGCUAACGGGUCAUCCGAACUCAAUCCGUUAAACUUAACAAGUCACCCGAAUCCAACUCGUUAAGCUAACGGAUCAUCUGUUUCAACCCGUUUCACCCGUUAACCACCAUUGAAUUGAAAACCAGAGAUGUCUUUUCUGGAAGUGGAGACCGCAAAGCGAUGAAUCCAAGACGAUGUGAUUGUCCUGCACAUGCCACCAUUGAAUUUGAAUCCUCUCUUCCUCCUUCUCCAUGCCUGCAAAAAUAAAUUCAGAAAUUAAAUAUAAAAAAUAAAAGCAAAAACCUGCAUCUUCCCAAAUGAAACCCGAAGUGAAAAAUCGAAAUUUUAACAGUUGAAGGAAGCUUACAAUGAGACGUUUCCAUGUAAAUUACAUAACUUUGAGUCUCAUAUCCAACUUGCACCACCACAGAUAUUCGACUUUCUUCUAGCAAAUAGAGAGAUAGACGGCGAGACUCGAGGAGACAAGAAGGUUGUGAGUCUUGCGAAUAAAGUUUCUUUUCCAGGCUGCGCAGACCACCUAGCGUCCGUCGAGCUCGCCUAGCCCGCCCAGGCGGCCGUCUUACAUCGCUUAAUGUCCUUGCCGAUUUAGUGAACGAUUUCUAGUUAAUUGUGGUGGAGCACCGCCGCCUAGCGCCUAGGCGGCCGCCUAGACCGCGUUUUAGAACACUGGGCAUAAUUGGUCGUCGAUGUCAGUCUGUUUAUUCUCCAAACCAGCAAUUUGUUUAUUCUUAAAAUGCAGACGACGCUUUUCUAUAAGGAUGAAUAGUUUGUUUAUGUAUUUUGACGAGAGUAAUGUUAAAGAAAUUAAAUUUAGAGGAAAACUUUAUAAAUUAAAUGAUGUAUCAUCAAUAAGAAUAAGUAUUUUUAUCAAUGCUUAAGUAAUAAACCAAUCAUAAAUUUCUAUGUUUUUUAAUUUCUAAAAUAUGCCUACAAAUUUAAUCUUGUUAACAUUAUUCUUUUGAUGUUGGUUUGAUUUCCACUUAUUUCUUUCUUUCAACAAUUAACAAUUUUAUCUACUUAGGCUUUGCCUAAUGUCCGCACAAUUUUACAACUUUCAACAUGCAUUUGCUUUGGGCUGGAUCAUUUUUCUUGACUAAACCAGGAUUAUAAUUCAACAUUAGCAUGAAUGAUUCACACCGUUACAUAUAUAGUCUUACACGUUAAUGCACAUCGACUUGGGCUUUUGCCUAAUGUCCACACAAUUUUGCAACUUUCAAUAUGCAUUCGCUUUGGGCUGGACCAUUUCUCUUGACCAAACCAAGAUUAUAAUUCAACAUUAACAUACAUGGUUCACACCGUUUACAUAUAUAAUUUUACGUGUUAUUCCUGUCAAUUCUGAAAAUAACUUUUUGAAUUUUUCUCAACGACAAGAUAUUUGAUAAUGUGGAUGGCAUUAAAUUAUCUCGUAAUCAAAAGAUAACGAGUCAAUGGACAAAGUUGACGAAUUGGGAGGUGGGCUCGUUUAAGAAAGAAAUCAAAAUUUAACUUUAAAAUGUCCAGUUUGUGAACAACUUGUAAUUUAUGAAAAAAAUUGUUAAAAUGAAGGAUCCUUUGAAUUAAUAUAAUAUUUUCAGUCGUCAUUUCGUUUCGAACUUUAGUUUGCAAAGUUAUAUACUUACAACAUGAUUUUUGUAAUUAUGUUUAGUCAUAAAGGGUUUGGUACACAAACAACAAAUGGUUGCCACAAUUCUAUAGAGGACACAAAUUUAGGCUAUUUUUUUCACUUCCAUAUUCAAUAUGUGCAUAAUGUUUGGUGUGAAGGACAUUUUGUACUUGUCUGUAAGGAACUAUGAAAAUGAAUAUUUCAAUUUACCAUAUACAAUUUUAAUCUCUUCCCAAGUGGUGGAUUGCCCUAGUAUAUAGGGUCUUUCUUUCAUUUCACUACAUCCCGAAUUCAAACCUCAUACUUUCUUUCAAGAGUAUUUUAGUUCUUUUUAUAGUUUACUGUAAAAAUAUCGUUUUUAUUCUUUUUUAUAGCCUUUUUCAUUUUAAAAGGUAUCUAAACACUUGAGUAACCUGCACGCGUAGAUAGGUAGAUAGAUAAGAUAACGUUACGUAUACGAAGAUACGUGCGAGAAUACACUGAUUGAAGAAAAACCUAGUUGUAUCCAAGAGACAUACAUGCAAGACUAGCUCAACUUAAACCGAAAAUAACUAGUCAAAACAUAAAACUAAGCCAGUUGGCCUCAUCACUUCUAACUAUUGGACCUACGUCUUGUAAUUGUAUGAUGCUAGUUCUUUGUGGUCAGUGGAUCACCGCGUGCCUUUUUUUGUACACUUAAGUUUUAAUCCAUAUCUAUCAAGUCAAGGAAAAUUUAGGUAUGCUAAAUCAAAGUAAAUUUAAGUAUUUUUUACCAAAAAAAAGAAAGUAUAGGUAUUUGAAUUGAAUUUCUCCAAAUCAAGUAAAUCUUAAUAAAUGCCCUUCUGUUUAGAGGAUUUCUCGCGUUGGAGCUGGAGCCCAAGUAGGAAAUUCCUGGUGCCCAAGCCUAGUUUCCACCUCUCUAACAAGCUUAAAAAUGAGUAAAUAUGAUAUAAGUACGUACUAUAUAUAUAUUAGCAUAUAUAUGAAUUUAUAAAUGUAUGGAAGAUAAAGGGGAUCCACACGGCCAACAAGGCGGCUCAGAGAUAAGAGCGCAACGCUGAUUACCGCUUCUUGCACGACUGUGUUUCGGAUAUUUUCGCCCAGUGUCUCAAGUCUGAGAUUGAAAAAUUUCAUCAUCACAAGGAUCAUGAGUCAUGACCAUGACCAUCAUGAUGAUUACUGCUUGGAGAUUACCCAAGCGGCUACCUCUUUCCCUACCACCGCUGAUCAUCAUAUGCUGUUCAAAAACAUUGCAAGGAAGGUUUUCCCGCCAGAAUCAUGCCGCCGAGAAGGGGAUGGUAGUGUUUGUUGUAUUGACCGACUGAGGAAGGAGGUUUUGUCGCCCUUGAGAAAAACUAUGGCGCCAGAGGGCUGGGAACCUGCCAACCGGUGGGGUUAUAGAGCGGAGUACAAGCGAAAGCAACUGGCUGCAGCCAAUGAAAUUGAUCCUGGCGAUGCCGCGCUGCUUCCGCAUGACAUAUUAAGCUAUCUCAAGUAUCCCGAGCUCGAGCAAGAUGCUGAUGUUAAGUGGAAGAAAAUGGUGAAGGUCUUGUAGAAAACCUUAAUGUAUAUUUCAGUGACUCAAAACAGUUUACAAGAUUAAGCAUAAAUAGAGGAAUAAUCGGGAAAGAGAGGAGAGUAGGGGACAAUGGCAGCUAAGCAAGUCAGCUAAGCAAGCAUGAGAGUAUGAUGACCUCCACACUCUCUUAACACAUGCUUUACAGCUUAUUAACAAGCUUUACACAGAAGAGGGAAUAACACAGCUCACUAAACCCUAGCUAAACACAGCUAACACAGCUUUACAGCUGUUAGGGUUUAAAGAAUUCAAUAAUAUUCAAUACUCCCCCUCAAGCUGGAUCGAGAGAUUUUCUGGAUCCAAGCUUGAAGAGAAUACGAUCAAGUUGAGAAGAAGGAAGGGGCUUGGUGAACACAUCGGCUAGUUGAUCACUGGAGCGAACAAAUGCAGUUUGUAACAGCUUGGACUGGACUUGGUUGCGGACGAAAUGACAGUCAACCUCGAUAUGCUUUGUUCGUUCAUGAAAGACGGGGUUGGCAGCAAUAUGCAUCGCUGCUUGAUUAUCACAGUGGAGGAGAAUUGGCUUGGAAGAGAUGAUGUCAAGAUCAUGCAGCAAACUCUUUAGCCAAAUUAGUUCGCAUGCAGUAGAUGCCAUUGCACGGUACUCAGCUUCUGCGCUGGACCGAGCUACAACAGAUUGCUUUUUGCUCUUCCACGUGACGAGGUUACCACCUACAAGAGUGCAGUAACCAGUUGUGGACUUGCGAUCAAGGACGUUGCCUGCCCAAUCAGAGUCUGUGUAUCCUUCAAUGGUGAAGUGUCCGUUGUUUUGCAUGAAAAUCCCGGUAGACAUUGAGCCUUUUAAGUAUCGAAGGAUCCUUUUAACAAGUUGCAAAUGAUGAGAUGUGGGAGAAUGCAUGAACUGGCUGACAAAGCUAACAGCAUAAGCAAUGUCAGGUCGAGUUAUAGUCAAAUAGAUAAGUUUUCCUACCAACCUUUGAUACUCCGAUGCAUUUUCCAAGCUGGAUGCCUGAGGUUUCAUGCUUGAAAUUUGUUGGUAGAGGUGUUUUAGCAGGUUUGCUGUGCAUCAUAUUGGCUUCUUCUAAAAGAUCGAGAACGUACUUUUGUUGAUUUAGAAACAACCCCGUUGGAGAUUGAUCCAUUUCGAUUCCGAGAAAGUAUCUAAGUCUGCCGAGAUCUUUGAUUGAGAAUGUUGAAUGUAAGGUGGCUUUGAGAGCAUUGAUUUCUUCUGGAUUAUCUCCUGUGACAAUGAGAUCAUCAACAUAAACAAGUACCACCAAUCUUCCAUGUGUGCCAAGCCUAGUGAACAUUGAAGAAUCUGCAUUGCUUCGUUUAAAACCGGAUGACAUAAGGACAGAGCUUAGUUUUGAGUACCAAGCCCUUGGAGAUUGCUUGAGACCGUAAAUGGCCUUGUGAAGCUUGCAUACUACUCCUUGUUCCUUCUCUCGUUCAUGACCAGGUGGUAGGCGCAUGUACACUUCUUCUUCCAACUCUCCAUGAAGAAAAGCGUUUUUUACAUCCAUUUGAUGUAGAGACCAUUGUGAAUUGAUAGCCACCGAAAGAAGAACUCUAACUGUGUUCAUCUUUGCCACCGGGGCAAAGGUUUCUUUGUAAUCUACCCCGUAGGUUUGCGUGAAGCCCCUUGCAACUAACCUUGCCUUGUGCCGCUGGAUGGUUCCAUCUGAGUUAAAUUUUGUCUUGUAAAUCCAUCUUGCCCCAACCACACGUUGAUCUUUUGGCAGAGAAACAAUGCUCCAAGUUUUAGUUUCUUCGAGUGCCUUCAGUUCCUCAAGCAUAGCACAUCUCCAUAUAGGAGAUUGGUUUGCCUCUUCGAAGGAUCGAGGCUCCGAGUGUUGAGAUAACUUAGUGACAAAUGCUGCAUGAGAUGGGGAGGUCUUGCUAUGGUGAACCAUUUGUCCAAUAGGAUAUCUAGGCAUGUAGAUUUCAAAAUCAUCAAGCCUGGCUGGAGGUUGUCUGUUUCGAGAAGGAUUCCUUCGUGGAUGAGUAGGUUGUUCAAGGGGCUCUCUCCUUUCGUGGAGGACUUCUUCAUUAUUUGCUUCUAUAUUUUCAUGAGCUGGCUCUAUCUCAAUUGCUUCAUUGUGCGGUGUUGACAGUCUUGGAUCAUCAAAGGACGAGAGGAGUGGGAAACACUUCAUAUGAGAGCUCCCCCUGAGGUUCAUCAUCAUGCUUCUGAAAAGAAGAAGUGUGUCUCAUCAAACCGUACAUCCCUGGAUACAAACACCUUUCUGGUUUUAGAAUCAUAGCAUUUGUAUCCCUUUUGGGAAGUUGAGUAGCCUACGAAUGCACACUUGAUAGCCCUUGGAUCAAGUUUAUCUCGGUGAAUAGUUUGAAUAUGCACAUAGCACACACAUCCAAACACACGGAGAUGACUUAUGUCAAUAUCUCUCCCCUUGAGAAUUUGACAAGGAGAUUUAAACUUCAAGAUUCUGCUAGGAAGUCGAUUUAUGAUGUAUGCAGCGGUUUGUAUAGCUUGAGACCAGAACUUCUUUGGAAGGUUUGCUUGUAACAUUAGUGAUCGUGUUUUCUCAAGCAAAUCUCGGUUCUUCCUUUCUGAAAUGCCAUUUUGUUGUGGUGUUCCUACACAAACUAGUUUGUUGCAAGAUUCCAUGCUCACUUAAGUAAGUUGUCAUGAUUUUGGAAGUAUACUCAGAGCCAUUAUCAGACCUUAAGAUGCCAAUAUUAGAGUUAAAAUGAUUUUGAACUAAGUUAUGAAAAUUUUUGAAACACUGGAAAGCUUCGUGCUUGAAUUUAAGUAAUACACAAAGGUAGUUCUAGAGAAAUCAUCAAUGAAAGAUAUAAAGAAUCUGUAGCCAUCAAAAGACUCUAAGGGUUGCAGGUCCCCAAAUGUCGGAAUGGACAAUUUCAAAAACUUUGGUAGCUCUAGAGAGAGAAUGGGGAAAGGGUAACCUGGUGGACUUAGAUUUUUGACAAACUUCACAAUCUGAAAUCUCUUUACAGAAACUAGGAAAAAUAAAAGACAUAACAUGGGAAGAAGGAUGAGCUAAUCUCAUGUGCCACAGCUGCUCCUUGUUUACUGUGUUUGAGUUUACGUAGAAACCUUUUGGAAAACUUGAAGAGAAGUUGACAUAGUACAGUCCAUUGAGGAAGAAACCUUUACCAAUCGUUUCCUUCGAAACUCGGUCCUGGAAAAUCACACAGUGAGUGGAAAAAAUUGCAAGACAAUUUAGCAAUUGUGUUAUUCUUCCUACUGACAGCAACUUGAAAGGGAAGGAAGGGACAAUGCAUGACAAGGGAUUCCUUUUUACUUGAGAAGAUUUUGAGUUUUCCUAUGCCUACUAUACUAACUUUGGUGCCAUUAGCUACGGAGACAAAAGAAGGAGUGGAGAAGUUUUGAAAAUCAUUUAGUAAAGAUGCAUCGUUAGUCAUGUGAUCAGAAGCUCCUGAGUCGACUAUCCAAAAACCACGGCUACUACUAAGAUCCAAUGCAGUGGAAAUAGUUGCAACAAUACCUGGCACAUCAUUUUGUGACACUGAGCUUGACUGUUCGAGGAAGCCAGCAAACUUGCCGAGCAUGGCUGCAGGAUUUUCAUGAUUUGUUGUCCCUUGUUUCUGUUGCAAGAAGUUAGCAAAUUCAUUUAUGAGAGUAAUGGGACUAGAAGAAGAGUUCAUCACAUUUUUUGAGACAUUGUCGCAAACAAGGUUUCCUUGAGGAGUGUAGGCAGGCUUCAUUUGGUUUCUUGGUGCUCUUCCCUCAUCAUUGAACUUGGGUUUAAGUUCUGGAUGAAGAAUCCAGCACUUUUCUUUUAUGUGUCCAAUGCCUGGACGACCUAUUUUUCACACAGUGAGAACACUUUAAGUCUGGUCGUUUUCCCUUGUAUGGUCUGAAAGAGGUGAAGGCUCUUGCUUCUGAUGGCCUAGGAUCUGAUUCUCCAACGACAACGACUGCAUUCAUGACCUUCUUCCUUAUUUCUUCGCGUUGAAUAACGUUGCAGACCAUCUGGAAGGUGGGAAGCUCAGGUGUCAUCAGGAGAUGACUUUUAAGGUCCUCAUAUUCUGGUCCGAUGCUGGCAAGCAACUGGAACACUUUGUCUUCUUCAGCACGCUUUAAAAGAAUGGUUGUGUCCGUGGUAUGAGGUCUGUAGAGAUCCAAUUCAUUCCAUUUGGCCUUCAAGUUGCCAAGAUGUUGAACAAAAGAGAGAUUUCCCUGUUGUAAUUCUGUAAGAUCUUUCUUCAGCUGGAAGACUCGCGCAGCAUUGUUUAGAUCUCCAUACAUGUCUCGUACAGAAAUCCAAAGGUGGUGAGAUGAUACUGAAUAACUGAAAAUCUCAGCCAUCUUUGGUUCCAUAGAAUUCAACAGCCAAGACAUGAUAAGUUGGUCUUGGGACACCCAUGCUGCAUAAUCUUGUGAAGUUGUUUCGGGCAUGAUAUCAUCCUUUUGAAUGAACUGGAGCUUUCCACGUCCUCCAAGAGCGAGAGAAAUAGCUCGUGACCAAGGCAGAUAGUUGAAUUCGUUUAGGAGCACUGAGCUCAAACGUUGAAUUGGGUUGGUAUCCAUAGUUUCGUUUUUUGAAACUUUCUCUGAUGAUGUUGCCAUAAUGGCUUUAACUGGUUUGAAUUUGGUAGGAUUUCGGAAGAACACAGAAGCAGGUCCAAGAGGGAUCACUGCUCUGAUACCAUGUAGAAAACCUUAAUGUAUAUUUCAGUGACUCAAAACAGUUUACAAGAUUAAGCAUAAAUAGAGGAAUAAUCGGGAAAGAGAGGAGAGUAGGGGACAAUGGCAGCUAAGCAAGUCAGCUAAGCAAGCAUGAGAGUAUGAUGACCUCCACACUCUCUUAACACAUGCUUUACAGCUUAUUAACAAGCUUUACACAGAAGAGGGAAUAACACAGCUCACUAAACCCUAGCUAAACACAGCUAACACAGCUUUACAGCUGUUAGGGUUUAAAGAAUUCAAUAAUAUUCAAUAGGUCUACUUAAAGCAGGGGAAGCUGAAGAAUUGGCUGUGUGUGAUGUCGACAACUCCUUGUCGGCGGGUUUGGCGGUUUUUUCUGCAGGUGCAGCUUUCUUGGCUUUUCUGGCUCGUUUUCUACUCUUUCCCUGCCAAAUUUAUCCAUUGUACGUAGAAAAUUAGAAAUCGAUAAGUAAGGCUCAAUGCUGGCAGUAAAACAAAGACAGAAAAACAAAAGGGAAAAACUAAAAAAUAAAUCACAUGCAGAUAAGAUUUAAAAAUAUUAAAAAAGUUAACCAUCACCCAAUACUAAUUUGUAAGCAGGUGAGACUCCAAUAACAGUUGAGAAUUUAGGCACAAACGACGAAGAAUGCAGAAUAAGCUGAAUGAAUCUUCCAAGCAUACACUUUAGAGAACAAUGCACACAUGACAGUCUAGAAAAAUGCAAAGAUAAACUCAAAUGUAGUAAAUAUUGGGAUAAACCACAUAGCUAAGCUAGCCAUAUCCCAUAAUAUAAUGAAUAAAUUCAAGGUUUUGGUUAGAAGGUCCUACUUUGAAAGGAAUGAUUUUACUGCAACGAAAUGCAUAAAAGGUGAAAGCAAGACACCAGUUCCAAGACAUGUCCUCUAUCAUAACUGAAUUGCCUAUUUAGUGGGGCUUAAGGACUCAGAAUUUGUUGUUUUAUGUGCCUAGGAUCUGAAAAGAAGUAUUCUUCGUAGAAUAGCCAUAGUUUCAAAGACUAGGACUAAAAACAAGUUAAUUGUCUGGAAGACAAAGGGUUUGUUGCAAAUUUCAGUUAUAAACUUGCAUAGGCAUUACCUGAUCGUAGUCCUUGUUAAGUACUUCCCAAAUGAAUCUUUUAAACCGCACCACCUCCUUGCUGUUAAGGUACCCAGCAACCUAAAAAACAGAAGCAUGAGUUCUUCCAUAUCGAAAUUCACAAACGAAAAAUAGAAGCAACAAUCACAUGGGAAUCCAAAUCGCUAUACGGACUACCGAGCAGGGCCGGCCCAGGCCCAGUGCAGGAGGGGCAACCGUCCAGGGCCCAAAAAAAUUAGGGGCACCAAAAUUAUUAGGGCGGUGUAUUUACAUAUGUUUUUAUAAGAGUAUAAAUUUAUAAAAUUUGAUUCAAAGACACAUAAAUUUAACUAGAAGUGGUGGUUUGUCAUUUGAAAAUAAUAAGGAGGUCUUGGGUUCAAAACACCAUGUGUGCUUAUUUACUUUCCUUUUUUUACAAAUUUUUUUUAUAAGAGUAUAAAUUUAGAAAAUUUGGUUAAAGGAUCAAAAAGUUUAAUUAGAAACAAUGAUUUUUGUUGUUUAAAAUUAACAAGUGGUCCUAAGUUCGAAAUGCUAUGUGCAUGUUUAUUCUUUUCAAUUUUUACAAAAUUUUGUUUGGUUGGUAAUUUAUUUUUAGUUACUAUCUAGUAGCUAUGUGGGUUGUUAUUUUUAAAUAUUCGUUUUAAUUCAAGUCUAAUCUUCAACAAAGAAUAAUACGUAGACCAAAUUUGCAAAUUAUAUGACGUGUCAUCAAAAUGUUUAAUUUAGUACCCAUUCAUUAAUAAUACAUAUUAAUUAAAGAUUCGAAAACAUCAUUAUUUUUUAGUCCAGUAUUGACAAGUUUAGUAAAUAAGAAAAAAACACCUCACGAUUUAUUCAAAAACACAUUCAAAGUUCAAAUGGAAAACAAAACUCAUCAUCUAUUUACUUGUAAGCCCGCAGUUUUUUUGUUUCCCUCUCUCAAUACAAAAUAAAUUAGUCUUUCUGUGUUUCUAAAUUAUUGAGUUUGAAGUGUUUUUCUAAGUAUAAUUUUUUCGAUGUCUUAUGUGUGAAAAUAAAUAAUUUCUUACAUGAAAUUAGGGCAUUUUUUUUUACGUCGCCCCGGGCCUCAAAAAUCUCUGGACCGGCCCUGCUACCGAGUGGGCUAUGAUGGAAGUGUUCUCUGAUGGGCAGGUGGGUGUAACCUUCAGGAUCUCUGCUUAGGUGUUUGAUUAAAUUUAUCCCCUUAAUUAUCAGACAUGGAAAAUGUGGUCGAUUGUCAUGAACCAAGAACUGAACUUUUCACAAUAACUAUGAAAUAAAAUUCCAACAACGUCGCAUGCAAACUAAAAAUUGUUAUUAUCAUCGAAAUAUUUGAGCACCUACCUUAAAUUCAUCAACUUAUGGAGAAUGGGCGGGCAGACACCAUUCGACGAAAACAAUUCAGAAAAUUGAAAAAAAUAAUAAGAAGCAAUGCCUGCUUUAUCUGCAUACCUCGGAGUCGUCGAUAUCUGAGAGGCUUUCUGAGACAUCGCCAUCCGCAGUUGACAUUGCAGCUUGCCGCCUUCUUUUGUAAACUCUCGGUUCUUUUGAAUUUUAUGUAAUUUUAGGUAUUCAGCUUUCGUGGAACUAGAAUUUAAAUCGACAGGAAUGUCGGCGAACAAACAAGAACCGACCUAGUUCAGUUUCCCUUUUAGAAUUGGAAUGGUGGAACCCAACCAUGCUGUUCUCUUUGUUCAAAUCAAAUUAAAUCAGACCAGUUUUGGUUCUUUGAAUCAAGCAAUAGAGUUAGUAAGUGUAAGUUAGAUGUUAGACAUUAGAUUUGAUUCUAGUUUCAAUUUUUUUUUUUAAUGAAAAAAAAGGUAAUAACAGACUAACAGUCCAAAAUCAACAGGGCUAGCCCCAAAAUAGUAGGAAAAAUUAAUCAAGAAACCAGAAAUACUCAGCCCAAUCUAAAAAUCAUGUGGUUCUUUUUUGGUAAACAAAACCGUGUGGUAAACACAAACGGCAUGAAUUACAUCUUACAUUGUAGAAACACAUUACUAUUCCUACUGUUGGGACCAAAUUCGCGCACAAUCGUUGAUAUACAAAUAAUCGUUGGAAUAUCUUGAACACCGAUAAAUAGGAGAAUUGUUUGGGGGAUGUAACUAAAUUAAAAAAUGAUUGCCUACAUAUCUCCUUGUCAAAGAGGGAGAAUCAAAUUGCGUGUAAUUCCAUGCAUGAGUUGGAUGAGCAUGUAGAGAUGUGUUUGAGCAUGUAUGCAUUAGAUGAGAUAUCAGAUAUGCGUUAUAUCUCCUUGGAAGGAACCCUAGCUUGGAUAUUUAUAGAUGAGAUCUUUCAACUCUUUGUCAAAUGCUUAUGCAUAUAUAAAGCAACAUAUCAAAGCCAAUAUUCUCAUGCUAUAAUCAUGCAAAUGUAAAGUGUAAAACAAUAAUUUAUUCAGCAAUCCAAACACAUAAAGCGUCAGUCACGUUAAAUAAAAUGAUAACAGCAAGAAUUAAAGCUAAGUAGGUAAAAGAUUAUCCUAGCAUUUUGUUGUCCUCAAACUUCCAUUAUUUCAAAACCCCUUUACCCACACCAACCCACAUUUUUUUUCUCAUUAACCGACUCCCUCUCACCACUUUCUUUUCAACUCUCUCCCAACCUUCCAAAACCUCUUUAUUUUCCUUCUUUUCUUCCAGUUCUUUCCCUUCCGGUAGGGGCUAUUCUCACACCUUCACUUCCCACAAACAUCCCCUUCUUGUUGGAAUCCAGCAAUAUAACUAAGUCUAACAGGAUUUGAGAGAAAGAUUGUAAGAUUUAGAAGAUGAAAUCAGAGAGAGAGAGCACACACAGAGCAUAGCCUUUCAACUUCUAUCAUUGUAUUGCAUUAUGGGCAUAACAACCCGAAGAGACAUAUAUCUGACGACAAAGAUGAGUGAGAGAGAAUCAUAACCUCAAUUCAAUCUCAACCAACCAUUACAACCUAUCUUAAGAUCAAGACACUUGUCAAAUGAUAAGCCCUAUGAGACUUAAUCAACACAUCACAAUUUUACACAAUAGCUCAGCCUAUGAGCUGAGACAUGACACACAUAACAAUCUUGUAAUGUUUACUAAUCAGUACAACAUACAUACUAACACUCUCCUUUAAGUUGUGAACUGAUUUCACUCCAAGUAGAUUUCUCAAGUAAGUGAACUGCUCCCUUGCCAAUGCUUUUGUAAAGAUAUCUGCCAGUUGCUCCUUUGUAGGACAGUGAAUCAAAUCAAUUACUCCUUGCUGUAAUGCUUCCUUUAUGAAGUGAUAUCUUCGGUUUAUAUGCUUGGUCUUCUGAUGAAAGAUGGGAUUCUUGGUGAUGGCUAUGGCAGAUGUAUUGUCACAAUUCAUUGGUGUUGCAACCGUUUGCAUUUCACCAAAAUCCUCUAGGACAAAUCUCAACCAAGUAGCCUGUGCUGUUGCUUCAGAAGCACUAAUAUACUCUGCUUCGGCUGUGGAUAAUGCAACACAUUGUUGCUUGACUGAAGACCAAGAGAAAAUCCCAUUUCCAAAAGUAAAAGCAUACCCGGAUGUGCUUUUCAUGUCAUCCUCUGAACCACUCCAGUCACUAUCACAGUAUCCCAUUAAGAGUGUUCCUUCACCUUUCUUGUAUUCCAAACCAAAAUCAAGGGUUCCUUGAACAUAUCUCAAUACUCUCUUUGCUGUUCCAUAGUGCUUGUUAGUUGGACAAUGCAUAAACCGAGCUAAGAGACAAGCAGCAUACAUUAUAUCAGGUCUAGUUGCUGUGAGAUACAACAGACUACCUACAAUCUGUCUAUACUGAGCUUCAUCUGCAUUUCCACUUCCAUCUUCUCUUCUCAGUUUGUCACUUGGAACCAAAGGAGUACUCACUGAUUUGCAAUUCUGUAGUCCGAACUUCUUCAGAAGAGAUAAGGCAUAAUUUCUCUGAUGAAUGAAGAUACACUCCUCAGUUUGGAUUACCCCCAUACCAAGGAAAUGGUGUAAGAGACCAAGAUCAGUCAUCUCAUACUUAGACAUCAUCUCAGCUUUGAAAACAUCCAUUAACUCUUGACAAUUUCCAGUAUAUAUAAUAUCAUCAACAUAGAUGGAUACUAUGAUCAAUUCUGUGUCUCCCUUGUAUUUGGUGUACAGAGUUGCCUCACUGAUACUUUUCUUAAAUCCACAAAGCAUAAGAUAUGAGUCUAUUUCACCAUACCAGGCCCUAGGUGCCUGUUUUAGACCAUACAAAGCUUUAUGUAAUCUGUAAACCUUUUCUUCCUCUCCUUGCACUACAAACCCAUCUGGCUGUUCAACAUAUACUUCCUCUUCUAAUACUCCAUUCAGAAAAGCUGAUUUCACAUCUAGUUGAAAUAACUUCCAUUUAUUCUUUGCUGCCAGUGCAAUUAGAGUUCUAACUGUGUUUAAUCUUGCAACAGGUGCAAAAGUCUCAUUAAAAUCAAUUCCAGGCUUUUGUGCAUAGCCUUUUGCAACAAGUCUAGCCUUGUUCUUUUGAACUGUUCCAUCCAAAUUCAGCUUUGUUUUAUACACCCAUUUCACUCCAAUCACAUGCUUAUUUGAGGGUCUUCUCACCAACUCCCAUGUCUGAUUUUUUUCAAUCAUAUUCAUUUCAUCCUUCAUUGCCUUUUUCCAAGCUUCAUCAUGUGCAACUUCAUCAAAGGAUUCAGGUUCAACAAUACAUAAGUGACAUCUCUCAUAGAUCUCACUCAAAUUCCUAUACCUCAGUGGAGUAUCAUCAUACUGAGCAGAGACCCGUGAACUACUUGAUUCACCAAUAGCAGUAACUGUAGAACUUCCAGCUUGAAUUUGAGACCCAUCAGAUCCUUCUUGUUCAUGAGAUUCAGACAUCUCAUCAAUUUUAUCCACCUCUGAAGACUCAAUUGCAGAUAAAGGAAUACAGACUUCCUUGACUUUGUGUUUCUCCCAAUCCCAUCUACCAUGUUCAUCAAAAAUUACAUCUCUAGACAACAAGACCUUUUGAGUUAAGGGAUUCAGUACUCUAUACCCCUUUUCACAGGUUCCAUAUCCAAUGAAAACACCCAUGACACUUGUUUCUUCUAAUUUGUGUCUUAGAUUCCCUGGAAUAAGAGAAUAGCAAACUGAACCAAACACCUUCAAAUAUUUAAACCCCUUUGGUUUUCUUCACCCCACCGAUGUGGGACAAUUUUAACACUCCCCCUCACGUGUAACCUCAUUUAGUGGUUCACACGUGGAGAUCCACAUCGGUAAUUGAAACUCAGAGGUCGGCUCACGUUGGGCCCACUUGUUUUCAAUGGAACUCAGCGGUCAUCUCUAUAUUAAGAGCUCAGACUUGUUUCCUUCCGGGUGGUGACAAGCUCAUUGGCUUGCACACACAAGCUCGUUGGCUUGCACGGGCCCGCAACCGUGGGCUCUGAUACCAUGUUGGAAUCCAGCAAUACAACUAAUAUAACUAAGUCUAACAGGAUUUGAGAGAAAGAUUGUAAGAUUUAGAAGAUGAAAUCAGAGAGAGAGAGCACACACAGAGCAUAGCCUUUCAACUUCUAUCAUUGUAUUGCAUUAUGGGCAUAACAACCCGAAGAGACAUAUAUCUGACGACAAAGAUGAGUGAGAGAGAAUCAUAACCUCAAUUCAAUCUCAACCAACCAUUACAACCUAUCUUAAGAUCAAGACACUUGUCAAAUGAUAAGCCCUAUGAGACUUAAUCAACACAUCACAAUUUUACACAAUAGCUCAGCCUAUGAGCUGAGACAUGACACACAUAACAAUCUUGUAAUGUUUACUAAUCAGUACAACAACUUACAUACUAACACUUCUUCCCACAAACUCCUCUCUCUCUCUCUCUCUCUCUCUCAGUUGUUUUCAUUUUUAUUCACUUGUUGCUCUCACUCUUUUUUUUUCUUUUCCUUGCCUCUCACAACUCCCUCGACACCUCUCUUUCUCUUUCCUUCUUUUAUGCUUUUCUUCCACCCUUUAAUAUAGCUGAAAAUUUGCAUAUGUAACAAGAGUAGAAUUGGUGAGCAACAUAAAAUGGAGAUGUAGGCUAAAGAGGCUAGCUGAGAAGGCCUGCUCAACCGUACAUAAGCUGCUCAAACUGAUGUAUAGGCCAACAUACAGAUUAGGUUGUCGAGCUUUUUGGAUAUUAUAGAAGAGAUGAUAAGGAACAAUUUUUGUGAAGGAAAUGUUUUUGUUUGAUCACAGUAAGUUGGAUUUUUAAGCUCCAAACAUGACUAUAAGGUUUUCUGCGGAUUUUUAAGGCUGUAAUAGCAUUUUGAUUAUCUGGAAUGAAUGGACAGUUAGAUCGUUCUGAGACUUUGAUAUGUUAAGGUAGAGAGAAUAAGGAACAAUUUCUAUGAAGAAAGUAUUUUGAUAUGAGUAAGAGAAAAUGUAGUUUCGAAUCUCAUAUUUGGAUAUGUUGUAUUUAACGAGUUAACGAACAACUUUCUUAAAGAAGGCUUUUUAAUUUGAACUAAAGAAAAUGGUAAUUUGAUCUGCAAAACAGAUAUGACGAAUUUCUGGUUCUUGAAAUUCUUUCUCUUGAUAAGUAGAAGAAAAUGAUGAUGAGUUUGGUGUAGAGAUUUGUUGGGUAAGCUCUUAUGCAUUUUUUGGGAUUUGUAUGUGAUUUCUUUCUCCGGAUUCUCAUUGAAAAAUAGAGGGAGAUUUGGUGGUGCUUCAUGGAGUUGCAUAAUGGUGUUUCACUAGAACUUGAUAACACACACAUUCACAUAAACACACAGUAUAGGAGUCGUUCGUCAAAGUGACUACAUCCACUGGGGUUUGCUUUCAUUUGUAUUUCACUAGAUAUGAGAGACUUACAAAUACAAUGAAAGAUGACUUAAAGCAUUUACAGAAGGUAAAAGAAAUGGAUGAUGAAAGAGGAAUGGUCUGAGAAAGAGAACAUUCCUUUUGCUAGUGUGUUCUUGUUGGUGUGGUGUUCUCCCUUUUUUUCCUCGUGUCCUUCUAGUUCUUGCUCCUUCCUUUAUAGGGAUCAUAUGAGUUCUUCCUUCUCACAACAUGUGCAAUCUAACUUGAGGAUAAAAGCUCCCUAGUGUCCCAAUAGAAAGACACCAAGUAUUGUGCAAAUUAUUAGCCAUAAUAUGUGUUCGAAUAGCAAGACAACAUGUGUUAAACUAAUCAUUAAUAAUGAUAUGUGUUCCAAUAACAAAGCAACAUGUGUUGAGCUAAUCCUGAACAAAAAAUAUCAUGUAAGAUGGAUGCAUGUCUGGAUGCAUGUCUAAGGCCACGUUAAAGUUUAUCUUAUGGUAAGCUGGUUGGAACAAAACAUAUGGUAACUCUACAAAUUGGUAGGAUAUCCGGAUGGUGAAUUAAAAGCUCCAAAACCCAUGGUUAUAAUCACACCUCAAACUAAAACCAAAAGAGUAGCACACUAUUUAGUUGCUAGUGGCACGCAAAUGAGAAAUACAAAGCCUAACAAAUCAAUCUACAAAUAAAGUGAAACAUAUAUGUAUUUGUUAACUAAUGAAAAAAAGAACUUGGUAUAUCAAACUUUAGCAUAAUACACAAAUUAAAAGUACUUCGACACUUAUAUAUAUACCCACUUUUUAAAUUACGGAGUAUUACACUUGCAAAUGCCUCUUGUAUAAAGUUGUUUUAGUCCUUUCACUAUCAACCUUAACAUACACGACAUUGUUCACCUUUUAACUCCAAGCAUGAACUUUCCCCUCCUAAAAACUUAGGCUCCAAAUCAUUUCAAUUGUUGCCUAAUUUUUUUGGGAGGAAAGCCCAUAUUUGAAUCCAAAAGUAGAAAAUGUUAUGGUUGCUAGACCUGAAUAGUUAACACUCUAUAACAAAUAUACUUAUAAUUUUGAGUUUGUUUUUGUAUUGCAUGUGGUUUAAUAUUCUAGUGAAUAGAUUAUUGAGUUUCCACACAGAUGUCCUGGUUCGGAAUUCUCCCCUCAUAAAUUAUUAAAAAAAUAGGUAACAAAUUGAAAUUUAAAUAAAAGUUAAGGUGACAAAUAAAAAAUUUGCCUUUUCUUCCCUAGUCUGCAACUGGACCAUCAACAUCAAGGCUCAAAUCAUAGACCCAAAAAUGCCUUAUUAAAUUAUAUGAAUUCCUGAACAUAUUCUUAAAUUUUAGUGGUGGGAUCUCCAUCCAAUGGUGGUGGUUCAUGAACAUAUCUAUAAACAUUUUGUAUGAAUAAGUAGAAUAUACAUCCAUUUGCUAAGAUAUAUUCAAAUCUGGCAAGCCAGUCCCCUGCCCACUACCAAAAGCCAAAGCUAAAAUACAAUUACAAUUAAUUAUUAAAAUGUGUAUUAUAUAAAAGGAAAGGGUGCACAAAGGGAUAAAAGGAGCAUGUAGACCUGAUAUUUAUCACCUUCCUUCUCUUCUAAUGCCAGCGAGCAGUGAUUGAGUGACGUUUACAGGAGAAGGCGCAGGGUCAAUCCAGGGAGUGUCAGCACCACUUGCAUUGCUGCCUCCCGGCUGAUAGUUGAGGCGAACAUUACUAUCCUUGGAUGCAGUUGAUGAGGUAUCAUCCUCCACCAAAAAUCUACCUGUUGAAAAUGUUGUUACAUCUUUAAAAUUAUAAUCUGUCAAAUAGCUUGGUUUCGACAUGACAGUGCCUGUGUCAAUGUCUCCAGAGAGCAUUGCAACCACGCGUGACAUAGAUGGCCU
rnacentral:lncRNA from 1 species